rnacentral:lncRNA from 1 species
UUUUAAAUAACAAAUACAUAUAGAAUCAUAAAUAUGUGAAUAAAUUAAAAAAAAAGUUAAAUGUAUAUAAUAUUUUAAUAUUAAUAAUAUUCAUAGAGCCAGUUUUAUUAUAAGGUAUAUAUAGAAUAAUGCCCAAAACGUUACACAAAAUCGUAUGCAACACGUGGAAAUACAAUUACCCAAAUUACGAUAAAUAAAUCAACCAAUAAUAUAAAUGAUCCAAUUAAUACAAACAUUCCCAAAUAAUAUACAUGUUAAGCCAAAAACAAAAUGAAUCUAAACAAAUUAUUUAAUUGAAAUCAAAGUAGCAUAAAAAAAUAAUUUACAAAAUAAAUAAACUACUAAUAAUAAAAUAGGACUCGUAUAUAACACGCAUGAAUUCACAGGGACCACAAUUGAAAUUAUCCCUGAUCCUGAAGCAUUACGUUGAGACGUGGGUUAAAAUGCAAAGCCAUACAAAUUUUAGGAAAAAAAUUAAAAUGAAAAUAAAACAAAUCAGGCGCAGAGGGGAGCGAAUCAUAACACGAUGCAAAGGGGAAGGGCCUGCUACCUAAAUAAACCAUUUUAGGUGCAAAAGCUUCCCUCCCCUCCCCCUCCCCUUUUUGACACGGUAUCAUUUCAUUAGCAGGUCAUUUAAGACCUUCCAUUUCCUAAAUCUAUUUUCUAAACACAGCCCCCAUUUCACCAAACUUCUUAGCCCUAAAAAUCAAUUUGUUUGGGCAUAUUCCAGCAGCCACCGAGUACACCACUUCAUUAGGUGAUCGAUGGCAUUCCAGUGACGAUCGAUGAUGCCUUUGGACCCUUCCAACUUCGAUUUUCAGCGAAGAGGGCAGAGAUCCAUGGCUGAUUUGCAAGGUAAGACUUGCCUCUUUAUUCUCUUUGUUUCAGAAAACCAAAUGAUGAAAAAAUACUUGCAGGAAAAUUGAUAGAAAUAACAGAAAAAUUAAAAGAAUAAAGAAGAUCACCUUUUCAGAAAUUUAUUUUGAAAUUUUCUAGAUUCGAUAUAUGUAUAUUGUAUGUGUAUGCGUAGAGUAUGCGUACAGUGUGAGUGUGUAAAAUACAGGGAUGAAAUCAAUGGCUUCUUAUAGCCUGAUUUUUUGGAAUAAAAAAUAAAAAUAAAAAUUACAUCAUUAGCUGUAUUCUGUUAGUAACUCUUCUGGUACAUUCUUGUGCAGAUUUGGCCGUACAGAGGAGGCGUGUGAAGGAGGCUGCGCGAGGAGCCACUCGUGGGAGUCCUAAUUUCUGGCCUAUUCUGGCACGUUCCAGAAGCUCCUAGUGCUGCUGAGAUAAUUUUGGAUGUAUUGGGCCUCGGGUUUUAGGGCUUAUUGGGUCAUGGGUUAUUAAAAAUGAGUUUUAAAAUUAUUGGAGUUUAUGUAAUUGGGUUAAGGGUUUUUUUUGGGGGUAUUUGUUUAAUUGGAUUAAAAAUGUAUUUGGGCUGUUUUGAUUUAGUUUAUUUUGUAUUUAUUGUUUUUUUGAUUUUUUGGUAUAAGCCCGGACAAAAAUUGGGCCUUACAAUGGGUAUAAUGUUUUAUUUGCAUAUCAUUUUUCUAUUUUAAAAAUACUGUACUAAUUUUUACCCAAACACUCAAAAAAAAAUUUUUUUUAAAAAAAGGCAACGUUUCGGAUUUUAGGAAUUCGAGAAAUUGUACCUUAACUUACGGGGUUUCGAUUUUCUCGUUGAACCUAAAAAUACCAAAUAUCCUUAUAAGUUUUGAAUUAUACGAAUUUUAAAAAUAAAGGCAAUAUUCCGCAUUUAGAAGCUUGAGAAGGUCGUACCUUAACUUAUGGGGUUUCAAUUUUUCUAGUUGGAUCUAAAUAAUCGAAUAUCUUUUAAAAAAAAAAAUUCAAAGUAUAAUUCCUUUUAAAAUAAAAAAUAAAAGCAAACUUAUUUUCGAGGGUUUAAAUGUCGUGUCUUAACUUACAAGAUGUGACAUUUUACUAUCUCGAGACAAAAGGGCCUUUAGUGCUCGUUUUAAUUUAUUCAAGCAUUUCUUUUUAAUCAAUAUUAAUAAAAAAUGGAUCGUAUUUUAAACUUUUUCUGAGUUUUCAACUUUCGAUGUUAAGACAUUAAUUAAUCAAUUAGGUACCAAUUUUGGGUGUUACGAUCGUGCUAAACCUUUCUUGUACGUAAUCAACUCCCGGACCUAUUUUCUCGAAUUUCGUAGACUAAAAUUGUUAUUUUAAUAAAUCAAAACAUUUUAUUAAAAUGAUCAAUUGCGAGAUGACCCGAUCACACCUCAUAAAAAAGGAUUGGUGGCGACUCCCGUUUUCGCUUUCCUUAAAAAGUCGACCGUUUUCAAAAAUAAAAAAAAAGUUUCGACAUAAUUAUAGUCUUAAAUAUAUUUUAUAAUUUCAAAAACAUAAAAUAACAAAGUUUAUGAAAAUUGAAAGGAUUUUUUUGAUAUUUUAAUGUUUUUAUAAUUUUUGAAAUUUAACCCAACUCAACUGAGCUUAUUUUUAAGGAUUUUAUGAUUUUAUUAAGUUUUACAUAAUUAUAUAUUUUUUAAAAAUAUAUUUUUUAUAGUUUCAAAAAUAAUAAAUAAUUUUCUGAAAUUUAAAAGAAUUUUUUUAUAUUUUUUAAAUAUUUGAUAACUUUUUUUUUUCAAAAUUAUAGUUAAAAGAAUUGAAUAUUUUAACUAUAAUUCAGGGGUUAAAAUACAUAUGAACUCUUAAGUCAAUUUGCCACGUCACUCUUCUGUUGAGGUUGUAAUGACUGUUAAUAACUUUGUUGUCCCUAAUUUUUAUUGUGGUUGACACAAUUAUGGUAGAAAUGUUGAUUUUCACAAUCACUUUUGUUCCUGCUCUAUUUAUUGUAAACUUAACAAUUAUUUCAGGUGAAUAGUAAAUAAAAAUAUUACAUAAUAUGAAGGAAAUAACUGUGAAAAAUGAAAUAAAUACAUGAUUAUGACAUAAAAUUCUUACUGCUAACAGUAAAAAUCCACAUGAACAAAUUAUUCCUGUGUUGUAUUAGGUAAUUAAUUCAAUCACUAUUAUCAAAUUGGAAAUCAAAUAUAAGUUAAUGGCCGCAAAGAUAAGGCAAGGCCCAUAUUUUCUUUCAAAAGAUUUUUUCGUAGACCCUCUUCCAAGGCCCAGCUUUGUACUCCUUAAAAACUUGCCCAAAUUUCAUAAUUUUUUUUAAAAAUAAUUGAUUAAAGUUUAUAUAAACUAAAUAUUAAAUUACAAAUAUUUUAAUUAUAAAUAUUUUAUCAUUUCAUCUGUGAUUUUAGUUGACCAAAUAUUGAGAAUUUUUAAAAGGGAAAUUAAUAAGUAUAAAGUACGAAGGAAUUAACCAACUUCUAUUUGCUAAAGGGAAUAAGAUAUAGCUAUUUACAAUUCAUUCUUUAAUCUCUCCUGAAUCUUAAAGUCUGGGAUUGAUUCAUAUAUGCAACAAGAAAAUAAAAGUAAAAAUAAAAAUAAAGAAAAUCAAACACAAAUAUUUACAUAGAAAAAGUCUUUCAAAGAAUAGGUCAAAAAACCACGGGCAAAAGAGACUUCACUAAAUAAGCAAAAACUGAAAGAGUACGAAAUGAAGAUAAUCUCAACAAAUAACCAUAAAUCCUUGAAAAAACAAAGCACUUUGGCUAAAACCCAAAAUUCCCUAAAAACUCACAAAACUUUAUCAAUCUCAAAGAUGAUAGAUGAUUAGGUUACAACAUCACAUUUUAUAGGCUAAAUUUGUAUAUUAAAUAUGACUAAAAUAACUUAGAUUAAUCAGAGUUUAAUUAGGAGGAGAAAAUCUGGUUGAAUUGUGGAACACGUCGCAACGUCACGUGCUCCUCGUCGGGAUGCUAUUCUUCGCGUCGUCUGGACAUGGCCAAUCUUCUCGUUAAGAUGUCAUGAUCGUCUCGUCACGACAUCGGUUCUUUCUCAUUGCAACAUCAGCUCGUAAAUACAAGUCACACUCCACGUCAUAGAAUUUUAAUCAACUUUUGUUUCAUUUAAAUCAUGAUUAUGGGAUUCUAAUCUUCGUCCAUAAUCUUUAAUCUCACAUAGUAUCAGAAAAUAUAUUAUAUUCUUCUUUACCAUCAUGUAAAUUUUUUGUCAUCGUAUUAUGCAAACAAAUCCUUAAUAUGGCAUAGAUUUAAUGAUUUUCAAAAUAAUAUAAUUUUUAUAGUUACAUAUAAGUACUUGAUGUAGGAAUUGAACUCGGUAAUUUAAUUUGACGAAAAAUAAUACUAUAGUAAAUUGAUUUCUCUUUCUUGACCUUUUCCUUUAAUUAUACAAACUCUAAGUAAUGAAGGCUAUAACUUUUGUAUAUUUUAUCUGUGUCUAAACUUAAUAAAUAAAAGAAUAAUCAAUUUAUAAUGAUCAAUUUUUAAUACGAUAUAUCUAUCAAGUAAUUGAAUGAACAAAUAUAAUUUAACUUCUUAAAGCAAAACAUUUAACUCUUAUUUUAGAUUUAAUUGGAUCCACAUUGGACUAAAAAUAUUAUGUUUCAUUUUCAUAUAUGAUAAGUUGCUUAACCAUCUCAACGUCUCUAAUGGAUUAAUUAGCUUCAUACCUUCACAUACAUAGACAAAACCAACCAGAAUUGAGUGAUUAAAAUGUCAAUUUUUGGUCAGAACCAUCGUUUUGGUUUAAGAUUGAGAGUGUACUGAUUAUGAAAUUCAAUACAGAAAUGAUUUUGACAUUGGGAUUUUGAAGUUAAAAGGAAUGGAGUCAUCUUUCAGUUGUAUUUUAUGGCAAUCGUAGCCGUAUGUACAUAAUGAAUUUUAUCAUGAUAAAUUAUAAUAAAUUAGUAUGGUUUUUAUCUAUGCUUUGGGCUGGGUUAGUUAUCUAUUUCUUAACUAAAUUAUAGUUAAAAUAUUUAAAGGUUACAACUUGUUCAAAGUUUUUAUACUCUUCCUAUAUUUGACAUUUAAUUUUCAUACUUUUAUUUUUAGGAAUUUAGUCUCUCUAUUUUUUGAAUUUAAAAUUUUAGGUCCAUUUGUUAUCACAGUUAAAAAUCUUUUGUGUUUGUGUAGCAUUUUGAAAAAUAAAAUAAAAUAAACUUGCCAUCCAUUUAACAAAAAAUAACAUUGUAGUAGACCUGAAUUUAAAAAAGAAUUUUUAUGGUGCUAACAAUUUUUAAAAAUUCAUAUAAUCAUUUUAAUUACAAUAAAGGAUUUAGACUAACUAAUAACAUUUUAAUAAUUAAUGAAUCUAGUUAAAAAAAUAUCGAAUUAUAUCAAAAUUAAAAUAUCAAAUCAAAUUAAAAUUUAACGUAAUAGGAUAGGAAUUGAAUUUAUCCAUAAUGUUUUCAUGCCAGAAAAAAAAAGGGGGGGGGGUGGGGAAAUGAAGAGGAGGCCCUCCUUUGUAUAGAUAUCAAUAGUAAACAUCAAUGAAAAACUAUCAUUAAUAACUUAUUUCAACCGUUAUUUAAGUCCUAAAUGGACAAUGAGACAAAGAAGAGUGCGGACAAAAACAAAAUGAAACAAGGGUGGGGAAACUUUUGUCUAGCAAUUAUGAAAAGAAGAAUAAGAAGAAAAGUAGGUCCAAAUUCUACAUUUUUCUCCACUUUACCAUCAUGGGGACCUAAAAACAAACAUUGCCUUGUAUAAGUCCUCAAACCUCAUUGGUCCAUUACUUUUCCAAGUCCUUUGAUCAAUUAGAUUCAAAUUGACCCAUCUUCCAUUUCUUUUUCUCCCAAGCGUAAUGAUGUCAACCUCUGGCAUUUUUCUUACCACUUUCAUUAGCUUAAAGACAAUCAAAAAAGAGAUUUGCUCAUUUCAAAAUAAUAAUAUUUAAAAAAAUCAAUAAAUUCAAGAUUUUGUAAUCUUAUUGAGGGGUCAAAUUUUUUUAGGAGAAAACUUUAAAGUGUUGUCCGUCGGGUCAGCAAUUGAUCCCUUAAUAAUUAAAAUAUUGCCCCUUAAUAGGGGUUUUCGAACCACCAACCUCUCCUUUGAGUCUUGCAAGUCCACCAACCUCAAGUUGGUAGCUCAAGUCUUCGCACGCCCAGGUGCACUAUGUAAUUGUUCUAAUAUCUUAUGUCAUAGUUGUUUGAAUUAGACUAGAUAGAUCAGAAAUUGAUCAGAAUAUCGGUUCAAAUAAAGGCAUUGGAUUGGUUGACUUGGGAGUCGAUAUGAACCAGUUGAACUAGGCAAAAAAUCGAUUAAUAAAACAGUUGAACCAAUUUUUUUAUUUAGAUUUUUUUAAUUUUUAAUAAUUUAUUUAAUCGAAACUAGUUGGACUGAGGAACUAGUGCCUUGGUUGGUUCAACCAUUGGCCCAGUUUUGAAAACAUUGCCCUAUACUGACACCUCUUCCUUUAGUCUUGCAAUUCCACCAACCAACGUGCUCCUGACUUUGUGAAUUAGGCCCAUGGAGCAUGUUCUCACGACAUACUAACUAUCGACAGAGUACAAGAGACAAAACCCCAUUGAGAGACUAUGCCUUCGAUUACUAAGAGGCUUCUCUUAGAAAAAUUGAUCUCGCAACAAAUAUGUAUAUCAAAUCGUGAAUUAAUAAUAUAUUAGAGUAAUACCCAAAAUUAAACAGCCUAAUAUCACUAACUCCUGAUGGAGAGACAUCUCGCCGAUUUGAUGAGGAUAAGUCAACGAAACGACUCAAGACCCGAUCGCCAGAUUAUACAUGAUAACUAACCUUGAUAGCAUAAAAUAUAAGUCGAAAAGGAGAAGAAUUGAAAUCAUAAGAACACCAUGCAAAAUUUAAUGAACAUAAAAAAUCUAAAAAUGUGAAAAAAAAAAAGGAAGAAAGAAGAGAAAGUACUUUCAGGUGAAAUGAUAAAAGACAAUAAAAAUAAAAUAUUAAAGUACUUCUCCUAAUUGUAGAACAAACAAAGUGAAAACAUUGAUGGAAAUCAUGUUUGAGCAUAAGCUGACAAGGAAUUAUCGUUAUUUCAAUCAAUGUCCUAAAUAAAUCUUGUAAGGAUAUUAAAAGGUGGGGGAUCUGUGGACCAAAUGACUGAAGAAAGAUUCAAAUUACAUGGGUCAAUCAUCCAUGUCAACCUCACCAAAUCGCAGUCAUAAUGGCCAAGAGGGAUAUGCACUUAAAUUGAAUGGAAGGGUUUACAUAUUAAAAUUGUAGAAUUGCUUAAAUCUUUUAGUUUCAUCUUUAAUCAUUUUCUCAUUGAGCAUGCCAUACGAACAUAUGCACCACACGUUUUGAAAGAUAUCAUGCUUGUCAUCCUUAGGCAAAAAAAAACCAAAAGGAUAAUCAAAGAGAAAGGAUUGUAUGAAACAGAGAUAUUAUCUCUUUCUAAUAGUUUUAUGCCACAUUAGUAUUCUUAUCCUGAAUUUCAGGAUUUUAAUUUAGAUUUGAUUUUUUUAGGAUGAAAAUGCUGAAAUUCAGGAUGAAAAUGCUAAUGUGGCAUAAAACUAUUGGAAAAAAGAUACAGAUAACGUUGCGUCACUGUUUCAUACAAUCCUUUCUCGAUAAUCAAAAUCAUUAUAAUUGUAUUUCCUUUCCUAAAUUGUUAUAAUUGUAUUUCCUUUCCUUAAUUGAUGAAUACGGUUAAAGUGCUAAUUCUAUGUGAUCUAUAGAGGUAUUUAAAUAUAAGGUUGGAUCACACUAAAAGGAAAAAUUUAAUUCUCACUAGAAAAUAUGUUGGGCACUAUGGAUCGAAUUUACCAAGAGAUGAUGAAUUAAUACUUAAAAAUAGAAUAAACUAUAAAAAUAGUCACUUUUGUUUCCCUCAAAUUACAUUUUAGUCACUUAUGUUUGAAAUGUUAUAUUUUAGUCACUUAUGGUAUCUUUAGUUACGAAUUGGUCACUCUGUCGUUUCCGUUACCUUCCUAAUGGCAAUCCUACACGUGACAGUCUAAAUAGUUUUUAAAUGUCAACUUAGAUAUCCAACUAGGACAAGAAUAGGUUUUUAAUUAAACAAAUUUAAUUAAUUAAAAAAAUUAAAUUAAUUACACCUUGAAAUGGAAAGAAAAAUCGUUCGUCUUCUUUUUCUUUUAGUUUUCUUUUCUAUUUUGACUCAAAAAACUAUUUUCAUCCCAGUUGAACAUCCAAGUUGACAUUUAAAACCCACUGGGGCUGCUACAUAGGAUUGCCGUUAGGGAGGUAAUAGAGCUUAACGGCAGAGUAACUACUUUGUAACAAAACGAUAAUGUAAGUGACCAAAAUGUAACAUUUCAAACAUAAGUGACUAAAAUGUAAUUUGAGGCAAACAAAAAUGACUAUUUUUAUAGUUUACCCUAAAAAAUAUUGCUAAGAUGAGUGAAAGGAUAGGAAAUUCAUGCAAUUGAUUUGUAGAGUUUUGACCUUACUUGUUUAUCAUCUACCUUAGCUCUAUUUAUCAAGAAUUUCUCAAUUCAUUAAUGUUUGAAUUAUUAUAUAGUUGCAUCACGCUUAAAUCCGCACACAAGAUCCUUCCAUCUCACUCACUUUCUUACUCUCAAUUAUCUUCUCAAUUAUCGAAUGAUAAGUACUACCAAAUCAACAAUUCAACAUUGCAUAUAGUAUCUAUAUCGACAAUUAUUACUUUAGUGACACUCAAACUGCAAUAUAGACCUUUAAACCUAUUCCGACAGUCAUGUAUUUCGACGAUAAAAGGGUAUACCAAUGUUACAUCUGCCAACAUUAAUUUUUCAUCCGAAUAGCCCUUUUAACCGUCUAUGUAGGGGUUUUAGACUUGUACCGAUGGAUAUUUUGAUUUUAACGAUAGUUUUUUAGUCGUCACUAAAUAGUAGUUUGUUUGUCAUGGAGCUGCAAAAGAGAUUGUGAGAAAGCAGUUUUCUUGAAUGGAGUCCGAUCGAAUUGUAGGUGUUUGAGAUCAAAGAAAGAGAAGCUAAAAGUUUUAGGCUAAUUUUUGGGGUAUUCCUGAAGUUUUUUGGAAAAUCUAAGCCCAUAUCUGUGUUCAAAACAUUAAGAUGAUAAGUGGAUUGAUGCCACUUUUUGGUCGGAGGUUGCGCCGGUAGUGGCUACGUGAGCGAAAGGAAUUUUUUUUAGGCUUUAUUUUUUAGAUGAAGAAAAGAAAAGAAAAAAAGUUAAAUUUUAAGUAAAGAGAAAAAAGAAAAAAGAGAGAGAGAAAGAAUGGCUUAGAGACCCUUCUGACCUGGAAAAUGAAAAGAUAAUUAGGUGGAAAUUAAUCAAUAAUGUGGAAUGCACAGUUAGUAUUUCAUUAGGGAGAAAAUGAAAAAGUAAUUAAUUUGUGUAAUUUAACUAACAGGGACUAUUUUAGACGCUUCUUUCAAAUAUAUAAAUAACAUUAACCCUCAAGGAGAAAGAGCUCUCAGGCACGACAAGAAAAAAAAUACAAAAAAUAAAAAAUAAAAAAUCAAGUUUUACUAUGGCAGAAGAAUUGCAUGCCGGAAUUUGUGAAGGGACAUGGUGGAAGUCGUCGAAAACCAUGCUUUCAGGGUUUCCUUCGUCGUCUCCUACUGAGAUCGCAGACCUGGGAAUUAGCUUCGGAUGGGCUACGAAUAUGGCGGACGAUAUCGAGGCAAGGUCUUCUAAUAACAAGGAAAAGCAUCAGCAAGCUGCAGAUUCUCAUAAUAAUGGCAGCAGUGUUUUCAUUGAUUCUUCCUUAAAAAUGAUGGAUUUUGGUCUUUCAUCAACACCCGAUUGUAACCAAUCUUUUCAGUAAGUUUGAUGUAUUAUAAUGACAAACUAAUUGCCAUAUGAUUAUGAACAAUCCAUUAUUAAAUGCUUGGUUGAUAAUUCAUUUCAAGGUUGAGUUGCAGGCAAGAACCUGUAGCCAUGGAUUCAGCACUGCUACAAGGUUUAUUAUUUGAACCUGAUGCUCAAGCUCAACAACACUCACUUAAUUUCAACAACCGGUCCAUCAACCAUAUGCCUGCCGGUGCCACUUAUGGGGCAAACGCUAAUGGAAUAUUAUCACCUCCAUGGCCAAAACUAGCUCCUUUCGUAAGGCCAUCAUUGCCGAAGCAGCUUCCCUGUAGCUUACCCUUACCGCAAUCACAAGUUCUUUUACAAACAUUUGAAAAUAAACUCAACUGCCCCCGCCCCACGAUAGAGGUAACUAAAGUUUGAGCUCGAAUUAUGUUUUUAGUCCCUAACUAUUCUCAAGUCUGACGUUUAAUCCUUCUACUUGAACAUUAUUUUGGUCUCUAUUUUUUUAUAAUAUUAUUAGCAGACUCCAAUCAAUAACAAAGUUAGUUACUGUAGUUAAAUUAAAUUAAAUUUGGGUCUGCUAAUAAUAUUAUAAUAGUAGCUGAUCAAAUAAAAUUUCAAAUCCUUUCAUAGUACAAGGACUAGAACUAGAAUUAGACCUAAGAUCUGAUAAGAUGCAGGAAAUUAGUACUUCAUGUUCUUGCCUUGGAUCCAGGGCUAGGGUUUGUUGACCAUAUUUUGAUAUAUUUAUUCUAUGUUAUGGAUUCGUAUUAUAGACUAAUACCAAACAAGUACGAAACUUAGCGUCAGUGAUGAAGAAAGGAAGUGGUGAAUCUCCAUUAAAGAGGCCAAGAAUUGAAACGCCAUUGCCAUUACCAACUUUUAAGGUACCAUCUUCAAGCUUUUCUUUCCCUCCAAGCUGAUGAUAGUUUAUUUAAAGAAUAUUAUAAUCUUAAACACACUUCAACUCACGACUUUCGUGCUGCUACAAGAGUAACAAUGUCAAUUCAACUAAUAUUUAAUCGGUAAUUUAUUUACAGAAUUAGAUGAUAAAUUAGUAGCAAUUUUUAUCAGGUCCGGAAAGAGAAGCUAGGGGACCGAAUCACUGCACUCCAGCAAUUGGUUUCACCUUUUGGAAAGGUGAAAUUUUGUAUUUUUCUUUUGAAAUUUCAAAGAACACAUAAUCGAAAGCUUUACUUUAUUUAUUUAUUUAUUUAUUUUUUAUGUUGGCAUUUGGUUUAAUGUGCGCCUUUCCUUUUUCCCAGACUGAUACAGCAUCUGUUCUCCAUGAAACUAUUGAAUACAUCAAGUUCCUCCAUGAUCAAGUCAAUGUAUGUUCCUUUAUCUUCGUUUUAUUAUCCCCUUGCAAGAUAGAAUAAAAAACUAUUAUCUCAAUUUUAAAUUCGCUUAAAACUUAAAAAGCCUUUUAGUUUAUUUAUCAAAAUAUCAGUAUAUUUUUUUUUGUAGGCAUAAUUUUUUUUAGCCCUUAACAUUAAUAUUUUUUGUUAAAUUAGUUUUUAUUCUUUUUGUUAGUUAAAUUUGACCAUCAAGCUUUUUUUAAAAAAAAGUCAAAUUCGAUCAUCAAUCUUUUAAAAAUAAUUGAAUUGAUUUUUUAACAGAUAAAUUGACUAAAAUGUAAAAAAUUUAAGCAUGGUAACCCACAUAACAGUUCACGUGUAAUUCAAGUUUUUUAAAAUUUUUUGAACUUUUUUUUAUAAAUUUUAAAUUAUUUAUUAAUGUGACAUAGAAGACAAAUAGUGCCAUGUUAAUAUAAGGUACAUAUGGACUGUUACUGGAGUUAUCACGCCAACAUCGUUAAAAAUUUAAUGUUUUAAUCAAUAUUUAUAUUAAAGAAAUACAAUUUGACUCUUUUUGAAAUGUUAAUGGUCAAAUUUAGUUUAAAAAAAAAAAAGGUCAGAUUGAUAAAAAAUAUAAAUGUUAAAGACUAAAUUUAUCAUUAUGCCUAUGUUUAUGUCCAUUUAUCUAUUAGCUUUAGAGUUAAAUGCUAGCUCAAACUCAACAUAAAACAUUUUUAAAACACCUUGAUCAAAUUUUAAAUACAUAUGCAUCUCAUAUGAUAAAAAAAGAAGAAGAAAUAAUCUUCUUAAAUUUUAUUAACAUUAUCUCUUUUAUAAACAAAUUAUACCCAUAUAAUAGGAUCACAUAUUUAUAAUUUGAUAUUCAUGUUUUAAAUAUACUACAAGUUAGAUUUGAGCUAACAACUUAACAUCUAAAUUUAAUUUAGCUAAGGAAAGAACAUGACUGAUAGAAAUAGAAUAUCCAGAUUCAAUUAGUACAUUUUAAAAUUUAGAAAUUAAUUCAGAAUUUGAAGAAAGUUGAUAAGAUAAAAGGUAAUAUAUCCGAAUAAAUCUCCAUACGAAUUGAAAAAAGUUAUGUUAAUUUUUAUGUAAUUUCAGGUUUUAAGUACUCCAUAUGUGAAACAAGCAGCUACUUCCAUGCAACAGGUACGUACAUAAAAAAAAUGACUUCGAUCAAUGCUGAUAACUGGUAAACUUUUUCAGUGUGCGAAUAAUUACUAUGAAUUGCUGAUUUUUUUUUCUUCUUUGUUGUUGCAGGGUAUUGAUCAUAGGUUGAAAGACACAGAAGGGUCAAAACAAGACCUACGAAGCCGAGGGUUAUGUUUGGUGCCAAUCUCCACCACAUUCACAGUUGCUAAUGAGACCACUGCUGAUUUUUGGACGCCAGCAUUUGUUGGAACUUUGAGGUAGGAAAAAGAAAAGACGAUUAGAAAAGCUAAAAGGGGUCUUACAAUAAAUACUGUAGUAAUAGAAUAAGAACAGCAAAAUAUAAUGGAAAACUCAGAAAAAAAAAACCUAAAGAAAACAGAAAAAAGAGGAAAAAAAAAUGCUGGAGUACUCCAGGGUCAGCAUAACAAGCAGAAUUGAUGUAGGUCUAGCAAAAUUAUGAUUGGUUAAUGUUUCUAUUUGCAUUGAAGUAUCAAAUGAAAUGUAAAGAGAGGAAAUUAAUACACAAAAGGAUUAUUAUUUAUUGCAUUGGAGUUUUCUUACUGUUUGUAUAAACUGGAUUGGAUUAGUAAGAUUAACAAUCAGUCAAGAUAUUAGUUAAAUCGACAAUUGAAUCAGAUUUUAUAAUUUUUUAAAAUUAUUUAAUAAUUUAUUCACUUUAAACCAGACGAACCGAUUGAACUAAAAAAUAUUAGUUUAAUUGAUAUGAUCACGAUCUGAUUUUAAAACAUUAACUUUGAACAAGCUCUUUUUUUUUUGUCAAAAUAUGCCAUAAUAUUUGAAUAAAAUUUAAUACUUAGUGUUUGCAUUUAAAAAGAAAUUAAAAAUUAACCUUUUACUUUCUUGAUUUGAAAUUUAUAGUCAAAUUAUUAACAUGUUAAUAAUUUUCAUUAAAAAUUGUGAUCAAUAUACUUAUACAAUUAUGCCAACAUCAAAAGCAGAUCGUUAUGGACACAAUAAACAAACAAACAUGACAAUAAGUAAAAUUUGAUAAAAGAAUUUCAUAUAAAUCAAUGAACUAGAUUUUUAAAUACUAAUUUAAAUGUAAAAGUUAACUCUCAAAUUUCAUUAAAAAUAUAGAUAAAAGAUUUUGACUUUUUGUUUUGUAAUUAACUUUUAAUGUGGUAGUGGAAGUUAGGGCGCGGCCCACUGUUGUCUCUUUUAGGGUUUCUCCAUUAUUUCGAUUGAAAAAAGAAAGAAAAGUGUCUUAGAUUCUUGGUGCUGGAGGUGGGGGCCUAGUCUACUGCCCACAAUGCGGUAGUAUAUAUCCAUACAUUUUUAUUAUUGAAGUUCAAAAAAAAAAAAAAUUUAAGUCAAACCCCUUUUUUCUCAUUUCAAAACAGACUUCUAUUUCACAAACUUGGGGGUUUAUGUCUAUUUUUAAGAAUAAAUGUUUGAAUUUUCUCACCAAUUUCUCACCAAUACCACAAAAACAUGCUUUGAGAAAAUACCUUUUUAUUUUCUAUGUUAACUCUUCUAAUUUUAUGGUUAAGCGUUUAGAGUUUUCUAUCUUUAAGUCUAAAUUUGAUUCCUAUAUUAAGUAUGUUGUUUUUUUUUCUAAAUUUUUUUUCUUAUUGUUUUAAGUUUUUUUGGUUAAUUUUUAAUUAAAAUUUUUAAUUUUUUAAGUUUUUUAUUUUUAAAUUAUAAUUUUUUAUUUAUAUAAAUAAAAUAAUAAAUAUGUAAUUAUAUAAUAAAAAUAUAUUUGAUAUAUUUUAUUAUGUUAAAAAUACUUUUAAAUUAAUAACUCCUUUUUUCAUAUAAAAAAAUAUAUAGUUAUAUAAUGAAAAAAUAUAUACUUAUAUUUAUUAUUAUUAUGUUCAAAUAUUUUAUUUUUUAAGAGUAUCAACUAAUUUUUUUGUUUAUUUUUAUUUUAUAUAAUUUUUAUAUGUCAAAUAUUUAUUUUUUCCACCUAUAUUAUGUGUAUGGCGUAAAUUCUGAUAUUAUAAAAUCAAAUAUUUAUUUUAAAUAUCAUUAUUUUUAUAUGUAAAAUAUUUCAAAUAUCAUCAUUUUAUAUGUGAAAUAUUUCAAUUAAUUAUUUAAAAUAUCAUUAUAUUUUCACCUACAUUAUGGGUAUGGUAAAUCCAAAUAUUAUAAAAAUAAUUAUUUCAAAUAUCUUUAUUUUUAUAUGUAAAAUAUUUGAAAUAAUUAUUUGAAAUACAUAUACAAAAAUAUAUAAUAAUAAAAUUUACCAUGCCCAUGAUAUGGAUUGAAAAAUAAAUAUUUCACAUAUAAAAAUUAUAUUUACUAAACAUAAUUACAUUUGAAAUAAUUAAUUGAUUUUGUAAUAUUAGAAAUUAUCAUACCCACAAUGUAGGUGAAAAAAUAAUGAUAUUUGAACUAUAAAAAUAAUAAUGAUACUUGAAAUAAUUAUUUAAUUUUAUAAUAUUAGAAAUCAGCAUACCCACACUUUAGGUGGAGAAAAUAAAUAUUUGACAUAUAAAAAUCAUAUAAAAAGAAAAAUAUAUAAAAAAAAGUUGAUAUUUUAAAACUAAAAUAUAUUUAAAAUAAUGAUAAAUACUGAUAAAUGCCAAAAGUAACAUGUUUUAGCCUCAUUCUUAAUGUAUUUUUGAAUGAUUAUUCGAUUAAAAAUGGUGAAUUUUAUGCUCCUAAUCCUUUAAAUUCAAGUUUCUAGAGAAUUUGAGAGCAAAAGGAGUAAAAAAGAGCAAAAAUAGGAGUAAGUUUCGAGAGCCACACGGGUUGCCAAAUGGCUAUGUGCCAGACCAUGUAGAAAUCAUGAAUUGCACUCUAAACAUGCUGAAAGACAUAAUUUUUAGGUUUUUCAGAAAUUCUAAGACCUAUAUAUACCAAAUAUAAGAAGAGGAGGGGGAGUCGUCAUAGAAUACUUUAGAUAACAAUUCGAAAAACACCAUUGAAGCCGACUCAAAGCAGAUUUCUAUCAAGAUUGAAGAUCUCCUUUUGAUUUCUUUUAAGUUUAUUAUGAACUUCUUUAUUUCUGGUAUAUUGUCUUUGAGAUGUUUUUAUUUGCGAUUAUGAAUUAAUUUUCUAAAUACCUAGGGGAGAUGAACCCUAUGAUGAAUUCUGUCUUUUGAUUUCUGUUUUACGCAAUAAAUACUUGAAUCUUAUUCUCAAUUAUAUGUGCUUAAUUCUUGGUUUAAUAUUUUUGGACUAUUAAUCCAUGUUUGAUGUGCUUAAAUCAGAGGAGAAAAAGUCCAUGUUUAAGAGUAGAUCUAGCAUAAUUGAGUGAAGUUGCAUGCAAUCCUAGAAAUAGGAUGACAUAAAUCUACCGGAUUAGAGUCAAAUCUAAUAGAGGGAUCCAUAGAUCGAGUUAAUGCGAUAAUAGAUGUUUUAAUUAGAAAGAAAUUUCAAUUAAUCAACCUAGAGUCAGUUGCUCUUACUCUCGAAAGAGAUAUUAGGAUAAUUUAAAUAUUUCUACGAAUCAAGAUACUAAGUGAAGAAAUUGUUUAAUUCAGAUUGACAAUGACAUAUGAAAUCUAGGUGGAUUCUUUUCUAAGUAUUGUUUCACUUCUUGAUUGUUAAUCGUUUGUUUUUCUGAUUCGUUUUUUGUCAUGUUCUUUACUUAAUUAAUUUAGUUAGUUUUUGUUUUAAUCGAUCUCUCCAAUUUUUCAGUUAAAUAAUAGAAAAAUAGUAAUUGCUAGUACUUUUAGUCCUCGUGGGAAUGAUAUCUUUGCUCACCAUAGCUAUACUAUUAAUUGAUAGUUGCACUUACCUUAGUCAGAUUUUUAGUUAAUUUACGAUUGCAUCAAGUUUUUGGCGUCGUUGUUGGGGACUAAAAUAUUAGGAAAACUUUAUUUCUAUUAAUUUAGUCAUUUUUAUUUUUAUUUUUAUUUUUAUUUUAAUAUUUCUAUUUUUAUUUUUAUUUAAUUUUUAUAUUCUAAUUUUUUUCGUUUGUUUGCUUCUGGUGGGUUCUUUUGGUUUAUGACUAGAGGAAACUCAUUGGAUCCAUUACUUUUUAACAAUGAGGUUGAAAAGACUGCUCGUAGAAAUCGUAAAGAGGUUAGAGAAGUAAGAAAAAGUCAACAGAAUAUAGUAGACGAUUAAGAGGAAAAGAAUAUUACUGUAGAGAUGGGUGAUAAUCAAAAUAAUUAUCUAUCUUCUGCUCCUGCUCCUCAGAUUAUGUAUGAUUAUGCUAAGUCUACUCUGAUUGGGACUGAAUCGAGUAUUGUGAGACCUACCAUUGCUACAAAAAAUUUUGAACUAAAGCUGAACACAAUUCAAAUGGUACAACAGUAUGUUCAGUUUGAUUGUAACGCCCCAAAACCAGCUCAGAAGUUUUAGCCAAAUUUCGGAGGUCACAUUAAUUACCGAAGUGAUCGUAGAAAAUUUUAGUUUAACAAACUGAAAAAACAUUGCAGGAUUUAAGUUACAUAAAAUUCUCAAUUAUAAAAUCCUGAUAUUUCAAAAGAAAAUACAGUCCUAAUGACACUUACGUGCGUAAAACACAAAAUUCCAUACCAUAAUUUUCCAAAACAGUACUUACAAUUCAAUGUUUUUAAUUAUAAACUCAGAAAUUAUUUAAAUACUAUUAAAUUUUUUUCUUAACCGUGACUAUCCGAAACAUCUGCAUACCAAGUCCAGCAUCAGAAUUCAGAAAUGUACCUGCAAGGGGAAAACUAAAGGGUGAGCUGCACGAGCUCAGUGUGAGUUCAAAACGUAUCUAACAACAAAAUUAUAGAUCAGAAACCAAAUAAUAGUUCGAUAAUAAAAAGUACUUACAGAGAUACGAAAAGACAUAAAGCAAACUCGGAAUCAAUGUCCCAAACAAAUGUAAAAGUCAAAGCACACCAAAUCACACAUAGAAUACUCAUUAGAUAAACCCGUCAACGGGUCGAUACAAUAAUACUUAUUAUCACAAUCCAAAAUGUCAUUACGCUAACACCUUAAUGCGCGCAGAAUCAGUCAUAAAUGUUAUGACAAACAGAUAGAUUACAGACAAGUAACUUACACCCAGAUGCAUAUGAAUGAAGUUAAGUAUUAAAAACCCACCCAUCCAGCCAAAACACAUCUCUGUCCCCGGAUCACACCCCAAAAGAGUUGUUUAAUCUCAUCCAACCAAACACACCACACAGGACCUCAAAAGGUUCAUCUAACCCUACACACCAUGUAUGUGGACUAAGCUACUCAGACAAUAAUACGUAGCAAGGCUAGUUUAUAUGCAGUACAGUGCAUUGCGAUAAACCGCUGUACGGACAUGUUGUAGUUUAAACUACUAGAUCAGAUAAUAGUACGCAGCAAAGCUAACGUAUAUGUGGCACAGUGUGAUAAAUCGCUGUAUCGAUAAGUUGCAGUUAAACUGCCAGAUCGGUUCAGAAUCAGUCUUCCUUCUCUUCACAACCGCCCCAAAAAAUACUUUAUACAAGUGUAUGUAUGCUUAAAACCUCACAGAAACAAUAAACAUAUUGACAGACAGUCAGAAAGAAACAAGCGUACACACACCCAGCUAACCGAGUUCAGAAUCAGAUAUCUCACACAAUAGUUGUAACGCCCCAAUCAGAUAUCUCACACAACAGUUGUAACGCCCUAAAUUUCUUAUUUUUGUUUUUGUGAAUUUAUGACACAAAUAUCUAUCUGCUUCAGUGCUUAAAUGUUCUAAGUGUGUGCGGGAGGUCCCAAGUUCAAGCCUUAUAUUGGGUAAAUUUUGGUAUUUUUCUAAAUAAAGCCUUGACCUUGAUCAAUAGGCUUUUAUUUGAUUGUUUGUAAAAACAUAUCAAAAUGGGCUUGCUGGUCUGGUAGUUAAGUGGAGUGUUAAUAUGCUGGAGGUUUGUGUUCGAAUCUCUGUUUGAGCGUAGGUGACCUUUUUACUCUAAAUUUCAUCUAGGAGUUGUGUCGUGGUGGGACUCUGAGUGAUGAGUUAGUGUGGGUUAGUAGGGAGAGAUUUGGGGAGAUGAUAGGGGGUUAUAAAAAAAAUCUGUUCAUUCUUCCUCUCCUCAACAAAAAUAAGUUUCGAUUUUCUCUCCUUCUCCAAAGCCUCUGUCGUCCCCCUCGCCACUUUUUCUUCUUUUUCUAAAUUCGGUCCUUCCUUUCUUGUUUUGCAAUGUAGUUGGUGCUCACGUGGGUUUGGUAAGUCUCGGUAUGUGUAAUAAGUACAAUUAUUUUGAUUUUGGAUUAGUGAGUUUUAGGAUUCGUUUGUUAUGGUAAAGGUUAAAGAGCUAGAGUGUUUCAGUCGGCGUUGAAGUGGUGUGGAAAUGCUGUUACUCGAUUUAAGGUAGGGUUUUUGAGGGUAUUGUGUUUAACAUCUCAAUUUAGUUUCAUUUAAGUUUCGUUUUAACACUGAUUUUGGGCGUUAGAAUAUCAAUUUUUAGGUUCUAGAGUGCUCAGUGAUCGUUUUAGCAUCAAUCGAAACCAGGUGUGUACCCGAUUACGCAGAAAAUAGGGUUUCAACAAAAAUAAAAAACCUUAUUGUCGAAGCCACAUGGGCGUGUGGUUGCUCGUAUGGUAGGCCGUGUGACAUAACACGAAAGUGUGACCGACGAAGCCAGGCCGUACGUACAAGACACGCCAUGUGAUGGUUAGGUAGGCCGUGUGUGACACACGGGCUAGACUGAUUUGGGUUGUGUGGGCCCAUAUGUCUAAACCACACGGGCGUGUAGGCCUACACAAGCAAGCCAAAUGGGCGUUUGGGCCCAUUUGUCUGAAAUGAUUCUUAGGGUUGCACGGUUUGCCUAAGUCGACUGUGAACCUACUGUAGGGUCGGUAAGCGUUACCUAGACCCCUAAAUGUAUGACCUGAAUGUAUGUGAUGCAUGAUAAACUAUGCAUGAUUAUUGAUAUAUGUAUGUAUAUGUAUGACUGAUGGUUGCAUAAAAGCAUGACAUAUUGUAUGUUUACAUUGCAUUGGGUUGGGGAUGAUGAUAUUUGGAGGAAAUGUACUGAAAGACUUUAAGCCUAAUUUCUGGUAGCUCAGCUACAAAUUACUGUUUUUGUGCCGCAUUCGGCACUAUCUGGAGUGUAGGGAUGGGCGGGUUGAUUUAAUCCUUACAUAGAGUGUAGGGUUAGACAGAUAUGGUAUGUAGAGGCUGGUUGGGUGGGACUUUACUACUGAAUAUUUAUGAUUGUUACUGAUACUAUGAUGGGCUAAGGCUCUACUGCAUACCUAAUACUGUACUGAAAUGGGCUAAGGCCCAAACUGAUACUGGUACUGAAAAAGGGCAUAGGCCCAAGACUGUUUUAACUGUGCACUGUGAUUUACUAUUGUUUGUUUUCUGUGGGAUUAUACACUGAGUUUACGUAAAUUUACCCCUCUUAGUUUAAUAUGCAUAGGUAAUCCACAGGCUUGACGGAUCGGUGCAGCGAAGGACUUGACGGUGGCCAUACAUAAUUAAAACUGUUUUAAUUUCAGUUUUGAUAAUUAUUUCUUAAUUAUUUUCUAGGUUAUUUUUUAUGUAAAUUGGACUUUUUAGACUUUACUUUUAUUUCGAAUUUUAGACCGUUUUCGUGGAUUUGAUAACUGCACAAACUCGACGAACAAAUGGUUUUCACUAAAACAAAAGGUUUUUUUUAAAUGGAUGGAUUUAUCUAAUUAACCUAGUUUUUCAUAAAUUAAAUGAUUUCUAAAGUUUCCGCAACGAAUUGAGUUUUAAAACAAUUGAGUAAAUAAGUAAGCGGUUUGGAGUCCACAAAAGUAAUGAAAUGGAAAAGGAUGCAUAGUAGAAACUUAGUUUUGAAACACCCUAUCAUGUGACAUCGCCAGAUUUAGCCAUAACAUCUAGGCCAGAUUUGGGGUGUUACAACAGUCACAAAUAACACAUAAGUUGAAGCCUAGAUCAGAGUCUUAACUACCCUCACUAAAGCCUAGUCAAGGGUCAGAACACACAAACACAUUUUCAGAUGAAAAACAUUCAUUGAAUUAAAAUUGGUGGCUUAGGACCACACUUCUAUGUGCUCUAGUCGUGUGGAAAAGCCUAAGCUAUGUGGGGGUCAACAUGCCCGUAAGGGAAGAGGCACAUGGCCGUAUGGCUGAGGCACACACCUGUGUGAGCCAGGAAUAUGAUCGUAUGGAUAGUUCGUGUAACUCUUUGUCCAUUUGUGCUAAAAUAGAGUACAGGGCAAACACGACCGUGUGAGGGUCUCACACGCUCGUGUGCCCACUAGACACGACCGUGUGUCUAAAAUAUACGUCCAUGUGGGAUCUAUAAAUUCCAAAAUUAGCCACACAGCCAUGUGACACCAAAUCACUAAAACCUUAAUUCUCAAACACACACGCCCGUAUGCCUAGAGGACAUGGCCGUGUAAAAAUUGACUAAUUUCUCCAAAUCAGCCACACAGCCGUGUGCACCUAAAUUAGCCAGGAAACCCUAAAUCCCAAUUACACACGGCUGUGUGAAUCGCCCGUGUGGGGGUACAUGCCCAUGUGGCCGCUCGUGUGGUCACGAAAUCACACCGAAAUUGACUGAAAGUCUUGUUUUUUUAUCACUAAAAUGGCCCCUAACCAAAGUAUUUUAGAACCCAUCCAUAACCCACCCACUUUCAGAUAAUUGCAAACAACACAAACUUCAAUUGCUCAAUUAACUGGACAUACCCAAAGAAAUCGACAAGUUUUCACAGCAAACUCGUACCAAAAUACACUAAAUUGAAUUAAAAAACAUAAAAGAAAAUGAGAAAGUUUCGAAUCCCACACCUGAUUCGCAAUCAAGAUGCUUAGAAACCAAUCGACACAUGUUGACGACUUCGAUAUGAACACGAAGCUUUUCGAAACCAAAAACAAAACCGUUCUCUUCUUUUUCUUUUCAAAAGAAGAAAGAAAAGAGAGAAAAAAAACGAUGGAGAAAGUGCCAAAAGAAAAUAAAAUAAAAAAUAAAAAUAAAACAAACAUUAAGAAAAAUAAAUAAUUAUUUUGUUAUUUUUUUUACUUCAAAAAAUCUAAUAGUUGAAUAAUAAAAAUACCUUUCCAAAACACACACACGAGGAAUUGAACCCAGAACCCAAAGGAACACUAACACUUAACUAACUAUCAGACUAGUAGACCAAUUCUGACACUAAAAUGCGGACACUAUCCCAAAUACACGACCUACUCACUGACCCUUUCUAAGAAUCUCAAACUUCUAACCCUUAAAAUCAAGGUGUUACAUUGAUGGUUUGCAAGAUGAAGAUUCGAAUACUCAUUUGGCUAACUUUCUAGAGAUUUGUGACACGUUUAAGAUCAAUGGCGUUUCUGAUGAAGUCAUACGCUUACGGUUGUUCCCAUUCUCUUUGAGGAGCAAGGCUAAAUAGUGGUUGCAUUCACUUUCACGACGUUCUAUCACAACUUGGGAUCAAAUGAUUGAAAAUUUUCUGUUGAAGUACUUCCUACUGGCCAAAACAACUAAGUUGAGAAACAACAUAUCUUCUUUUGUUCAAUUUGAAAUGGAGACAUUUUAUGAUGCAUAGGAGAGAUUUAAAGAUCUUUUGAGAAUGUGUCAUUAUCGUGGGUUACCUUUGUGGUUACAAGUUCAAACCUUCUACAAUAAUUUGAAUCCCUCAACUAAACAAUUAAUUGAUACAGUAGCUGGUGGAACACUGAAUAAUAAAACACCCAAGGAAACUCAAGAGUUUAUGAAAGAAAUAGCGCUAAAUAACUAUCAGUGGCAAGUCAUGAGAACAAAAUCAAUAAAAGUAGUCAAUGUUUCUAAUAUAGAUGCAGUUGCUAUGUUGACAAGCUAAAUGGAAGCACUAAAAAAAUUUUGAUGAUUUGAAUUUUUCUAAGUAGGUAAAUCCGGUGAUGCAAUGAGAUGCGAAUGGAGCGGAUUCAGAAUAUUCAUCCUUCAAGUCUAACAUGGAGCAUGAUCAAGUUGACUUUUUGGAUAAUGAUUUUAGACCUCAAAAUAACCCCUAUAGCAAUACUUAUAAUACAGGUUGGAGGAACUAUCCAAAUUUAUCUUGGAGUGGUCAAGGAAAUCAAAGGUUAUAACCCUCUCCGAGUUUUCAACAACCUUAUUAGUAAGAGAAGAAACCAAAUCUUGAGUAGAUGUUAGCUAAAUUUAUUUUGGUGUUAGAAACUCAAUUUCAAAACACUGAGUCGACACUGAAAAAUCAACAAGCAUCGAUUCAUAGGUUUGAAAAUCAAAUUGGACACCUGGCCAAACUUAUUUCGGAAAGACCACAAGGUAGCUUACCUAGCAACACUGAAACUAACCCAAAGGAGCAAAUACACGCAAUCACUGUUCGAAAUAUGGAAGAGUUAGUCAAGCCUGAAAAGAAGUCGAAGCUAGAAGCUGUUGUGAAAAGUGAUGAGGUUGAAGAAGGUAAGAAAGAACAUAAGCCAGUAAUUAAAUAAUACAAACCACAAAUCCCUUAUCUAGCAGCAUUGAAAAGAGACCACACAAAAGAACAAUAAGAUAAAUUUAUUGAACUCUUAAAAUAAUUGUAUAUUAACUUACCGUUUGUUGAAGCUCUUUCGCAAACAAUCUUAGGACACAUAGUUAAAUUUGUCCCCUACUAUAAUAGGGUCAUGCAAACAACUCACGUAGAAGAUCUUUUCUCGUUCUCCCUUGAUUGAAUCUCUAAUCUCUCUUCACAAGAUCACAAUUUCCUCCCAACCUUCAUACUCUUUCCCUUCAUUCUAUCUUCAUCUUCUUCCCUUGUUUACCCCAUAGGUUAACAUUCUAUUUCCAAUUUGUUUGGUAUCUAGAUAACAAAGCCAAUUUUUUUCUUUUAAGUGAUGGAAAUUGUAAAUUUAAAAAUUUUAUGCUUGUAUCACAUUAUAAUUUCAUAUUUUUAUAGAUAUUUAAGUAAACUUUUACUUUUGGGAUAGCACAUAAUGGGAAAUUAUUAUGGGGAUUGAAUUUUGGAGCUUGAAUUAUUAGAUAUCAUUUUUUAAAAAUGAAUUAAAUUUCAAAAUUUUUAUGUGUUUUUCAUGAUGUUAUGUAAUCAUGUGUAUCAAGUAAUUGACAAUUCCUAAAGUUAAUGCUUAAUUGCUGUUAAAACAUAACUCAUAAUUAUCUAUUUACUAAAUCAUUAUGUACUGAAUGCACUAUUGAAUAGCAUUAGUUUUCUUUAGCCGUAUAAUGUGGAAUUUUCAGAAACUUUUAUCCUACAUAAAUAGCUAACCCAUAGUCUAAUAACUUUAGAAAUUUUAAAGGGUUUAAAGGAAAAGUCUCCCAUUUAGAGGGGCUUGAGCCUCUCUGCUUGCCCCUGAAAAAGAAAACAAAAGUAGAGAGCCAUUUGAAGUUUUUUUAUAUGUAUUUAAAGGAUCAUUAUAAACUGAUAUCUUUAUCUAUGUUUAGAUAUGCAUCGAACACUAGUGUCAAACAAUGAUAUCAAAUUUUUAAUUGAUCAAUAGUGUAACAAAAGAAUUACGUAUUUAUCAACAUAGGAAAAUAAUGGAAUAGGGGAAGUAAACAAGUACAAAGCUAUCUUCCAACUACCAUUGUUACAGUAAGAUUGUUUGAAGAUACAAUUUCAUGACCAUCUGAAAUAAAAUCUGCAUCUAUGGAACUCCUCAUGGAAGCAUAAGAGGGUUGCCUUGGCAUCGGGAGUGUCGGUGUUUCGCUCUCAAGCAGUAACAUCACGGCUGCCAUUGUUGGCCUAUGCAUUGCAGAAUCUUGCACGCACAACAUGCCUAUGUGAAUGCAUUUCAACAUUUCAUUAGGGGAGCAUGAAUCCCGAAUGGAAGGAUCGACGAGGUCCAUUGCUUUAUCUUCAUUCCAAAGAUCCCAUGCCUGAAAACCAGUUCAACAGCUGAUAUCAGAAAAAACAAGUUUACUAAUACAUGUUUGAAACAUACCUUUGGCUGCAAAAUGAUGCAUUUUAUACUUACAUAUGUUAUAAGACUUGUGUGCUCCAUUGAUCGGAAACUAGUAUUUCUCCGGCCGCAAAUGAUUUCUAACAACAAUACCCCAAAGCUAUAAACAUCUGACUUCACCGAAAAUAAGCCUUCCAUGGCAUAUUCAGGCGACAUAUAUCCACUGCAAUAUAAGAAAAGGAUUGCAUGUGUCAAGCUACUGAAACUUGUUUGAAAGUUGAGCUUUUUGUUAAAAUAUCUAUCAAACAUGUUGAGCUUACUAUGUGCCAACCACUCGAACUGUAUUUGCUUCGUGUUGAUUACCCCCGAAGAUUCUAGCCAUCCCGAAGUCGGAAAUCUUUGGAUUCAUUUCUCCAUCCAACAAAAUGUUGCUGGCCUUUAAGUCUCUAUGAAUUAUUCGAAGUCUCGAAUCUCGAUGGAGGUAAAGGAGUCCUCUAGCAAUGCCUUCGAUGAUGCUGAGGCGGGUUCUCCAAUCUAGCUUUUCUUUCCUGGCCUCAUCUGCCAUAAAAUUUAUCAGGAAACUUCAGCUGUAAGUACAAAGAAAUGGCUGCAAAAACUAAUAAUAAAUCCAGGCUUUGCCCUUCUUGCGGGACUUACUGAAAAGAAAGUAGUCCAAACUUUUAUUAGGCAUAUACUCAUAAAUCAGCAUCUUUUCAUCCCCUUGAAUGGAGCAACCUAAGAGCCUAACAAGAUUCCUAUGCUGCAGUUUGGCAAUGAGGAUAAUCUCAUUCUUAAACUCCUCUAAGCCUUGGCAUGACUUGGCUGAAAGCCUCUUUACAGCUAUUUCUUGACCUCCAGGAAGCUCUCCCUGUUGACAAGGAUAAACAAAUAUUACCACCUUUAGUUCAAUGACAUUACACAUAUUACAUACAUAACAAUUUGAUGAAGUUACUAAAGAAAAUCACCUUAUAUACAGCACCAAAACCCCCCUGCCCAAGCCUGUUUCCUUCAUAAAAGUUGUUUGUUGCAGCUGCCAAGCUACCAAGGUUAAAAAUUGGUAAUUCCGGCCUAUUAACUUGAUUCCCGUCAAUAAGGAUGCCGGAUGAUACUGAAAGAUCUGCUGAUAAUUCUUUGCUCUUCGACUUGGACUGUACAAGAACUGCUAUAUCGUUGUCCUUGCAACAUGGCAUUGACGAAACUGCAGGCAAACCUGAAAAAAAGAGCUGAAAAAUCAAUACCAAGUAGUAGACUAUAUGGCUUUCGAGAAGGAGAAAAAGUGAUUACCUUUUGGUUUCUUCUUGUAGAUCCAUAGUAGCCAAAGAGCUACCAUUAAGCUGCAUGCCCCCACCAGAGAAAUUAUAAUUAUAACAAGUUUAGAUAUCUUCCUCCUGCCAUCUAUGAUUGAAAUGAAAAGAAAAAAAAAACGGUGUUAAUAGAUCACACAAGUAUUGUUUCAAGAUUCAAUUUUGGCUCGGAUUUAUGCAGCCAAAUGCAACAGAACUUUAAUGUUCAAACCUUAAAAUGAAAGAAUGAACUCAACCAUUCAUAGCCUGCUAACAUAUGAAAUUUAGUAGAUGCCUUGCAAGGCAGGAAAAUUUAGCUUCUAAUUACUAAUAACAUAAAGGAAGUUAGCUUACCUAAUUCAGAAUGAUGGAGACGAUAAAAGAACUCUAAACUUCCACUUUGAUCCAAAUGUGAAAUAUCAACCAAAUCUUCUGUCCACAUCAUGCAUCCAAUACCGGAAACAAAUGCAUAUGCGUUACACGAACAAUUUCCCAAGCAACUUCUUCCGCAAGCAUCUAAGUUGCUUGCAGACAGGAACAAGUUCGAUAAAUCGGGUAACUUGAUGCACUUCAAUCCCUUAAAUCCAUCUGGUUCACCGGUACCAUUGGUCCUCUGGCACUGCAACUCGAUCUUCCGUUCACAUCCACCUGACCAGUUCCCUCUACUCCAUUGAUCCGGAAACUUUGGUCUAAACCCUUUUAAACAAUUGCAACUUAAAGAAUUGGAGUUGUCACAGGUUGCAUAUUUCCCACAAAGAUUGUAAAGUUCACAUCUAUUAGUAGGGUCAGGAUGUAAUUGUAGAUCUUCCCAUUUUUUCUCGUCCUCAUUCCAUCUCAACUGAUGCUCCCUUCCAUCCCACCCUACUCGAAAUCUCAACAAAUCAGAAGGGUUUGAAGGAUUAUAUGUGAAAUACUGUGUCCUAUUUUCAUCAGGCUGAGAAAGCUUGAAUCCAUAUAAGAAACUAGCAAUGUUACUCAUAUUGGAAACACCUGUGAAAAUCACUGAAUUCCAUUGACCACUUCUCCACCUUCUUUUUAUAUGAUCCCAUAUUAUGAUCUGUGGUCCUCCAUGAGGAUCAACACCCACAGUAUAGUUCCCUGGUGAUGGAUCAUUAGCUGAUUUCCAUGCUGUGAAAGCACGGUACUCACCUAUUGCUGAAUUCACCGGUACUCUCAUUCCAGGCAGAAAUGUAUCAGUUGGAUGACUGAAGCUUUGCCAAUGGACUCUAUGGGUAUCACCAAUGCUUUCAUUGCUUGAUAACACAAAAUUCCCUGAAUUCUGGAGAAUUGCAGCCGUGUUGUUCGAUGAAAACCUUGAAACAUUAGAUGACCAAACUAAACUGUUAUUACCAUCGAACACAACCAAGUUACCAUCAACACCAAUCCUCAAAGCUCCAUCAUUGCCAGAUAUUGGAUUGUUUCGAUUUGCAACCCAAACAACUGCUUUCACAUCAACCUUGUACCAUAUCCCAAGAAAUCUAAGUGUGGAGUUUUCAGGACUGAAGAAUCCCAGUUCGAAAAUCUCAGCUUCAGAUAUCAACGUGUCACCAUCCCUUACCGUUUGGCCUUGUCUGAUUAUAUCAACCCCAUCACAAAUCCGAACAAGAGAACAUAGAAGAAAAAUGGAUGAAACAAGUAAAACAAAAACUGGGUUGUUGAUAUUAGUUUCCAUAUCACAGUCUAUGAGGAGAAAUGCAGAGGUUAGGAAUAUUUGUGGGGGUAUUCAUAAACAAGGUUCAAAACGGUGGCCUUGUUUGUCUGCGGAUUAAGAAGACAAUUUAGACUCUAAAACCUGCAGAAAGUACUUUUUACAUAUACUUUGGGUUUUUAUGUUUUUGACCAUUGAAACAUAAAAAAGAAGCGGCGGUGACGGCUGGCGGGAUGCGGAAGAACAAAAUGGACGGCCUUUUGGAGUUUGGACCCAUCCAUCGUUUUAACUAAAACUAGGGGAGGCAGAUCAGAUUAGCAAUUCUAAAAUUCUUGUUUAUUAUUUUAAUUAAAUUAAAAUAUUCAAAUCUAAAUAUUAUUUAAGUUUGAAAAAGUUAUAUAUCUUUAAAUAUUCAAAUUCACAAUAUUUAUAAUUUUGAUUAUUAAAUAUUUUUAAUUAUUAUUUAAAUAAUAACAAUUUUGCAAAUCAAAUGAGCAACUGUCCAUAAUAUGAAAUAAACAUCUAAUGUAAAAAUCCAAAGCAACCACGUGAGAAAUAUGAAUGGGCAUUAGUUAUUAAAUAUGAAGGUAAUAAAGUUGACCAAAGGUUAUUGUCACAUGCCGUCAUCAACUACUUAUGGGGGCCAUUUUUCUGCCCUGGAUUUGGACUACUUGCAAUGGCAUGAACCAUCUGGUCAACCUCGGUCAUUGGGUCUUCCUUCAGAAAUUACUAUAAAUAUUAACAUUAAAUAGUUAUUUUUUAUAUUAAUUAAAAAAAGUAAAAAAUAAAAUAAGGUUUUACUAAUUCAGUAGAUUUAAGUAUGAUUUGUCAAUUGAGUCAUAAUUUAAUUGGUAUUGACAUUAUUAUUAAUGUAGAAAGAUGUGACUUUGAGUGCGCUGAAUCAUAUUAUCCUCUUUAUGAGUUGGGGAGAGACUAUAGAUAAUUCUAAGCACUGUGUCAAAAAAGAGCGAAUAUGAUCAGAAUCUAUAAUGAGAUUGCUAAAAAAAUAAGUAUGGUUUCAUAUAGUUCUAAUUGAGAUGUGCAUUAUUCUCACUUUUAGUUGCUUGAAGUUUUGGUCAUAAGGUUGAAUGGAAUGAAUGUUAGGAAAAUUGUGGAGGGUUAAAUUUGAAAUUUAACCCUUUUAUUUUUAUUUUAAGGAAUUUUGAAUUGAAAAUGUAAAUCUAAUUGAUGAAAUUAAAUUCAAAUUUAAUUUAAUGUCAUUUUUUUUGUUAUAUGACUAUUAGGGGAGUAUUUGUUUCAUUUCAAAAUGUCAUACUAACAGAUUUAAUAGUAAGAUUUUAACAAUGUUAAUUAUUUGACUUAAAUUUUGUAAUUUGAAUAAUAAAAAGGACUGAAUUCCUAAAAAGAAUGUUAUUUUUGUUUACUAAAUGGAAUGGUUUCAUGUGAGGCCCCCCUGCAGCGCAUAUUUUCCACAAGAAGGAGGUUUUACCCCUCAUGCGGUUGGAGUCGGACAAGGACCCUCUGAGGUUUGAUCGCUACCAAGGCAUUCCCCCAUACCUGAAACCAAUGACCAUUCUAGUAUGGAACUGUAGAGGGGCCAAGCACCAUGACUUUGUCCCCAUUGUACAUAUCAUGUGAAUUACUGAAACUAAAGCCCGUGCUAGCGAGGUUCUGAGGAUUGUGGACAAGCUUCCUUUUGAUGCUUGGAUUGACACUACGGCUAUUCACUGUAAAGGAAGGUAUUUGGCUUUUAUGGCUCUCUUCGACUACCACUAUUACACGUCUUUGCGACACUGAACAAGAAAUCCACAUUUAUGAUAUUAUGAAGGGAAUUAAUUAUAAUAGAAUUAAAAUUAAAAAAAAUAUAGUUUUUAGACACUAAUAAAAUAAUUUUACAUAAUUAAAUUUUAAAAAUAAUAAAGUAUUAUUAUACACUUAUCUAUAUUUAAUAUACUUUUCAACUUAAUUAGACUUUAAUUAAAUUACUUAAAAUAAUUAAUUUUUUAAAUUAUAAACAAAUAUCUUUUCUUCUUUUACAAAUUUUAAUCAUUUUGUUUUUUCCAUAAGUUAAUAUAUUUUAUUUUUGUGCAACCAAAUUUUUUUUAAAAAAAUUAGUAAUUUUUGUACCAUUUUUUCCAUGUCAUUUGCAUAUAAUUUUUGUAAUUAUUUUAGCAUGAACCUCAAACCUUGAACUCGAAUUAUGAACCUUAAACCUUGAGCCUUGAACCUUAAACCUUGAGCCUUGAAAUUUAAGGUUUGGAUUCGAAAUUUAAAAUUUAGGGUUUAAGGUUUAAGUUUUGAGUUGGGGGUUUGCGAUUAUGGGUUUAGGGUUUUGAUUUAAGGUUUUGUGGUUAUAGGUUUAAGGUUUUGGUUUAGGAUUCAAGGGUUCGGGGUUAUGAGUUACGAGUUCAAGGUUCGUUAGAGUGUAAGGAUUUGGUUGUUUGUUGGAAUGAACAGAGCCUUGGUUUUGGUUUUAGUAUUGAUUUAAGUGACUAAUUCGGUGGUUUAUUGGUCAAUUUUAGGUGCUGAGUGGCUCGUGAGUGUUUUCGCAUUGAAAUCGUACCAGGUGUGUUCCCAAAACGCAGAAAAUUGAGCUUCGGCGAAAGCCGAAAAAAUCACAUUGUCGAGACCACAUGGGUGUGUGCCUGGCCGUGUGGUUGGCCGUGUGCGAGACACAGCCGUGUGGCCGUGCGCAAGACACGACUGUGUGGCGGUGUAGGUGUGGCCGUGUGGGCCACACGGGCUAGACCAAGUUGGGCGUGUAGGUUUUUGGCUAGGCCGUGUGGGCCACACGGGCGUAUGGGCUAGACGGGCGUGUGGGUCCAUAAUUCUAGAAUUUUUCCUAGGGUCGCACGGGUCGCUCCGAUCAACUGUGGGCCUACUGUAGGGUCGGUAAGGGCUAACCAAACCCUAAGUUAUGUGAUCUGAUAAUCUGAUAUUCUGCUCUGAGUAUGACACUAUUAUGCAUGUCUGAUUAUUCUGUUAAAUACAUACAUGAUAUCUGUAUAUGAGCAUGUAAGCAUGAUAUUUCCGUAUAUAUGUUUGGGAUGAGAUUUGUAUAUGUGGAGGAAGUGUUCUGUAUGACGACUAUCGCCUAUAUUCUAGCAGCUUGGCUGCAUAAUAUCUAAUAUGUGUCGUAAUGACACAAUAUGGUGUGUAAGGAUGGGUGGAUGUUUUUAAACCCACAUGGUGUGAUAGGAUGGUCGGAGUUGGUGUGUAGAGGAUGGGGAUAGGAUUCUGAAUAUCUGUUUUGCAUAUCUGGUUUUGUUAUCUGUAUCUAUAAAGGACUUAAGUCCGAAAUCUUAAUUUGAAUCUGAUUGUGUAUGCGAUAUAUGUAUGAAUGGUAUGUCUAAUUCUGUUGGAUUACACACUGAAUUUACGAAAACUCAUAUUUGUUUGUCUGUUCUGUUCAGGUAAUCCACGGUCUUAGGCGGAUUGGUGUGACGGAGCCUCACGGUGACCACGAAUUCAUAACCGUUUAAGAUUUUGAAUUUCAUUUAAUUUAAGAUUUAUUUCUGGGAGUUUUGUAAUAAUUGGACUCACCGGAUUGUUUGGUUUAAUUUUGGGUUUUGGGAUUUUCGAUUUAACUCUUUAUUUGAGACAAGUAGCUAAAAACAUGAUUUUUCACUAAAACAAAGGUUUUCUGAAAAUACGAACGGGAUUUUCAAAUAUGACAUUUUUAUGACUUCCGCUGUAAUUUAUGUUUUGACAAUUAAACUAAUUUAACAACACUUUCGAUAAUGGUUAUAAACGAAUAAGAGUUACAAAACUUGAAUGAUUUAACAAAACGACGCAGGUUUUUAAAACCCUUCUUUGUGACAUCUCUGGAUACGGCCAUAAUGUCUAGGCCGGGUUUGGGGUGUUACACCUAAGAUUUAGGGUUUCGAUUCAAGAUUUAAGAUUUAGGGUUUAAUAUUUAAGUUUAGAUUUUAAGGUUUGUGGUUAUGGGUUUAGGGUUUUUAUUUAGAGUUUGGGGUUUGUAGUUAUGGGUUUAGGGUUUUGAUUUGGGGUUUAGGGUUAUAAGUUUAAGGUUUUAGUUUAGGAUUCAAGGGUUCAGGGUUAUGAGUUAUGAGUUUAAGGUUUAAGAUUCAAGGGUUCAAGGGUUAUGGGUUCGAGAUUUUAAAUUUAAGGUUCAGGAUUUUAAGUUUGGGGUUCAGGGUAAAAAAUUAUUAAAAUUUUGUGUUAAUGGCAUGGAAAAUUUGUUGAAAUGGUAUUUAAUAAUUAGAAAGGACCCAUGAAUAAUGUGAUGGGAAUGAUCCAUAAAAUAAUUUUUCUAUGGGUGAGUGUAUAAUAAUAAUUUUAUUUCUUUAAGAUGAUGUGACAAAAUUUUAUUGACACUAAAACUUUAAUUUUUAAGAUCAUUCUAAUAUAAGUUAUUCACAUAUUUUAAUUGAUUUAAUAUCUAUAUAUUAAAUAAAUACACAUAAAAAAAGAAAUUGAAUUCUUUUAAAAUUUUGUACUUUCUAAAUAAUUUUAUACUAUUUUUUAUUUGUAUAGAUGGUAGUUAAAAUUCUUAUCAAAUGUCCGUUUGAUACGAAUUUAAACAAUGAAUCUCAUUUCCUACCCCUUGUAUUAAAAAAAUAUUACAUUAUAUAUUAUAAAUAUAAACUUACCUACUUCCUUAAAAUAAACAUAUAAACAAAUAAUUAAAUAAAAUUAUUAAAAUUACACAAAUAUUAUAUUUUUUUUCUCCAAAUUUUAGCUUUUAACCUUAGAGACAUUUGCCAGUUAGAAAGUUAAAACUUAAAACUUAAAACACCUAAAAAGGUUUUAAUUUAAACGCUUAAUAUUACUCUAAUUAUAAAAAUGAUUCUUGAUAAAUGUCUUUAGAGAGGUUAAUCGGAUAGGAUACGCUUCAGUAAAACUGACUCUAUCAAGUGAUAAAGUUUUGUAUAUGUUCAAACAACACUAAUUUUUACUUUUUUUUUUUCUUUUUGUAAUAUUAAGCAUUGAAGAAUACAUAGAAAUAUGUGCGUACAUGUUUUCUUUACUUUUUAUUCCCUUCAAUCGAUUCUGUAGCUUAAAAAUCAAGAGUGACAUAAAAUAACAAGAUGAAGUUAUUCAAUGAAAUAUAGUAUAAAUAAAUAAAUCAUUUUUCAACUAAAGUCAGUCAAUAAAACUACUUUCUUGUUUAUACAAAUCGUGCAAGUCUUAUUAAUAUUUAUGAUCUAAAAAAAAAUCUAAAUAAGACAUUUUAGAAAUAUAAACAACAAAAUUUUUUUACUAUUUUAAAAAAAUUAUUUUAUGGUCGAUUAAGUUUUAACUUGAUUGGUAUAGUCAUUAUUGUCAAUAUAGGAAGACGUGGGUUCAAGUGUGCUAAAACACAUUAUCCUUCUAUUGAUAGAUUGAAGAGGGGUUAUGGAUAAUUUUAGGUAUUAUGUCAAAAAGAACAAAUGUGAUUAAAACCUAUAAUGAGAUUGUUUAAAAAAAAUAAACACUUUAUAAAAAUAAUAAUUUAUAUAUUUAUAUAUAUUUUUAUUAAAGACGUCAUAGUUUUGGGUUGAACUUCAAAUCUACUUAAUGUCACCUCUUAAAUUGACUAUUUGAAUCCUUUCUUUCCACAAUUUACAGUGUUUUCUAGGUUCAUCAAUAGAAUUUUUCCUAAUCAUUUUUCUUCUUAUUUCUUGUAGCAAGUCAUACAUACACAAUUUAUUGUCUUUAUUAAUUGUUAGUAGAAAUAUUUUAAUGAGAACAUCAAUUUCAAUAUCGAAAAAAAAAUCCUCAACCAGGUAAUAAUUUUCAUCACAUAAUCUUCCUCCUCCCAUUAAAGAAGCAUUUUAUAUCUAAAAGCCUUUUUUUACAAUCCAUCAAAGCUACUUGGAAGCUUGUCGAGAAAUUUUUUUUGUUACAAUCUAUUUAAAUCUUUCAUUUGCACUUGUCCAUUGAGCUACAUUUUUACGGAGAAAAAAAAAAGACCUCAAAACUUCAAGAGCUAAUGAGAGACUAGCAUUAUAACCUGCAACACGUUUAGAAAGCUCAAUGAAAUCAUCUUUCGGCAUCGUAUCACUAUCGAAAACUUUCAAAUUGAAAAGAUCAAGCGCAUCUUCAGCUUUCAAUGUUGUAAUCUUAUACACAUCAUCAACUCGAUAAGAUUGGAGUAAAUGUUUGUCUCUUGUUGUUACAAUGAUUUUGCUCCCUAAAUUAAACCAAUCACACCUUUCGACCAAGCAUUUCAAGUGCUGUAGGUUAUCAACAUUAUCAAUAACAACAAGAACAUUUUUGUGAGACAACUGGUGGCUAAUUAUAGCAUUUUCUUCAUGAACAUUAAAAAAAUUGGAACAUUCAUCAAACAAUAUAUGAGAAAGAAGCUGUUUUUUUAAAGAAACAAAUUCACAUUUGUCUGAAAUUUCUUGAACAUCAACAAGAAAAAUUUUACCUUCAAAAUGAAGUGAUAUUUGAGUGUAAAUAACUCUUGUGAGAGAGUCAUUUUCCGGAUGCCACCCAUUCCACCAAUUCCUAUAAUACAAACAUCAUUUUCUCCUGUCUCUAUUUUUGAAUGCAACUCCUCCAACCAUGUACUAAUUCCAAUCAGUUCAUCAUAAAUAAUUGGAUCUGUUUGACAUAAUUACAACACCCAAAAUUAGUACUUUUUAAUUACGUGUUAUCUCAAGUCUCAAGUCUCAAAAAGUAGGAGUUAAAAAUUCAAGAUUUAAUUACAAUCCCUAAUUAAAACAAUUAGGAAAUUUUGUUUUUGAGUGAAUUGAGUUUUCCAAAAUAUGCAGAAGUAAAUAAAUAAUAUUUUAUCAUGUUUAUCAAGUCGGCGAAACAUAAAAAAAAAUUAUAUUUCAAUUAUUUAUAUUCAUUGUAAACAAAUUUGUAUUUUUGUGAAGGACAGUUUGUUGUUAAUUAUAAUCGGUGAUAUCUUUUCAAAUUAGGAGAAAGAAUGAUGGAUUACAUUAACUCGAAAAAAGUUUCCUUAUUUUUUUAAAUUUGAUUAAAACAUUUAGUGAAUAUUCAAAAGAUCAUGACUAAAGUGCCCUUGUAGCUCAGUUUCUGCUCCGUCGAGGUCAUCAUUUUUUUACUUUUAUAUAUUUUUAAAAUUUAUUAUUUAUGUAUUUUUAUAAUUUCUUUUGAUUUUUUUUUAAUUAGGAUCAAAAUUGAAAUUAUCUGUAAAUUUUGAAAGUUAAUUUUUUAAUAUUAUGACUAAAUCGAUAUAAUAUGUAAAAAUUUAGAACUAAAUUUAUUGUUAUACCAAUUCUUUAACUACCACAUCACCUUCUCAUCACACACUUAACAGUACUUAAUGAAAAUAGACCAAAAAAUAAUCUCAAUUAGUUGAGUAACUAAUUUUAAAAAAUUCAUAACUAAGGGAUAGAAAAAAUAGGUCUAUAGUUAGGUGACAUAUGAGGUAGUUUACCCUAUUUUUAAAAGAAAGGUUAAUAUUUAGUUUGUACCUUGAACUUAUACAUAAGUACCUAGUUGGUAGCUGAAUUUUUUUUUGACCUUGUCGGUACUUGAACUUAUAUUUCGUCAUCUAGACUGGUAUCGCACUAACACUAUUAGUUUAUACUAAUGUGACAUUGAUAACCAAUCCGUCGGUGACACAUGGAAGUCUAUGCCAUGUGGUAAAUAUAAAUUUUAAAAAUUAAAAAAAACUAAAAGUAUAUAAAUUAAUUUUAAAAAAUAUAAUUUUUUUAACAUUAAGAAUGAACCUUGAAAAAAAUUUAUAUUCUUUUUUCAUUAAUCUAUUUAUUAUUUAAAAAAAUAUAUUUUUUUAAAAAUUUAUACUUGUCACAUAGCAUAUUGAGAAGUUGUCACGCUAGAUUGGCUAUCCAUGUUACGCCGGCACAAACUAACAGUGUUAGAGUAGAGGUAUUAACAUGGGUGAUGGAAUACAAGUUCAGGUAGCAACUAAAAAAAAAGAAAAAAAAGAUACCAACUAGAUAUGUUUGAACAAAUUCAGGAGACAAACUACAUAUUAACUCUCAAAAGAACAAUGGAACACAAGUCUCGAGAAUAGCGUAAAAAAUUUACAAAGUGGAGGUAGUUUAAUUAAAAACUUUAAGGGUGGAGUUUGGAUGGGCGGUGCGUUUCUUUACGGUUAGUGUAACAACAACGGUGGGGAUGAAAUUAAAUACUGUAGUGACACUGUAGUGUGAGACAAAAAGUAAUGUAAACGUACCCUACCACACCGCACCCCACUGUAUUUCCAAACCCAUCCUAAUAAAAAAAGGUGUACAAUGGAUAAGAUAUUAUUUUAAAGGAUAAUAUAAUUUUUAUGGAAAUAUCUUUAAAUGUAUAAAUAUAAUUUAUAGUUGUAACACCUCAACCUUGGCCUAGACGUUAUGGCAGAAUCUGGUGAUGUCAUAAGGAAUGAGUUUUGGAAACCGUGUUGACUUGGUAACACAUCAAUUUUUGAAAUUUACUAAAAACCACAAAUUAGUCAGUUUCUUUACCAAAACUUAUUAUAGCGGAAGCAUUUAUCGUUAUAGUUUGAAAACACAAUUGUGUUUUUAGGAAAACCGUUGUUUGCUUAAAACUGUCGUUUUAAUAAAAUAGUUUUACCAAAGCAAUCAAAUUGACGACAAUCCAAAAAUAACAGUUGAAAACCAAACAGUCCAGAGAGUCCCCAAAAAUUACAACUCUCAAAUAGUCCAAAAUUUAACAUGAACCAAAAGUACUAAAUUUAACUGUUUUACAACAUAGUGGUCACCGCUAUGUCUCUGCCGCACCCAUCGCCUAAGUUUGUGGAUUACCUGACAGAACAGACAAACAGAUAUGAGUUUACGUAAACUUAGUGCGCAACCCAACAGAAUUAGACUAGUAAACAUAUAGAAACAUUUCAGACAAUCAGAUACAGAAUCGGGCUUAUGCCCAUCUCAGAUACAGUUACAGAAACAGAUGUACAGAUCAGAUAAUAGAUUCAGAAUAUACAAAAUCCUACCCCUGUCCUUUACACACCAACUCCGACCAUCCCAUCACACCAUGUGAGGUUAAAGACACCCACCCUGUAACACCCCGUACCCGAGUCCGUCGCCGGAGUCAGACACGAGGGGUUUGCAGACUUAAAUCACUUCUUUGCACAAUCCAUUUUAAAUUUUCCAGGCAAGCUGGCUAACUGCGUCACUGUCACCUUAAAAAUCAUAUCUUGAGUUUCACAACUCGAAAAUCAGCUUCGUGAUUUUUCCCUGAAACUAGACUCAUAUAUGCAUCUACAAAUUUUUUUCUAGAAUUUUUGGUCAGGCCAAUUAGUACAUUUUAUUAGUCAAAGUCUCCCAUGUUACAGGGAUCGACUACACUGACCUUUGCGCAUUACGACUUGGAUAUCUCCCUGUACAGGGCUUUAAUACUGAUUUCGUUUGUUUAUAUAGAAACUAGACUCAAAAAGGAAUCUAUGCAUAUAUGGCAUGACUUCUAAUUAUCUCUUGUUAAUUUAUAAUGAAUUUCCAAAGUCGGAACAGGGAAUCCAGAAACCGUUCUGGCCCUGUCUCACGAGAACCUGAAUAUCUCUUAACAUACUGUCCAUAUGAUCGUUUCGUUACUUUCCUAUGAAAAUAGAUUCAUCAAGGUUCGUUUAAAUAAUUUAUUAACUAUUUAAUUCCAUUCCUAAUAUUUUUAGUGAUUUUUCACAUCCACAUCACUGCUGCUGCCAGCAUCUGUUUUUUUAAGGUAACUUUACCUAUUUCCUGAUCCUCCAUGGAUCAACUAGAGUUUGUCAUACAUAUUCCAAAAGUGAUAAAGAAUAACCCUUCCCAUGGCUAACCGUUACCAACAUUUCCAUACCUCUCGACGGACAACAUACAAAACGAUUAUAAUGCUAUGAUCAAAGUAUAUUUAAGCCAUUUUCGCAUGGCUAUCCAAAUUUACACAAAACCGAAGGGUACAUGACCAACAACAAAAGGGUAGUCCUAUACAUGCCAUUUCAAAGUUCAACCAAAAUUGUACCAAAAGGGGGCUUUGAUAGUGUGGGAGACUUCGAAUUCCAAAAAUCCCGAGUCCGAUAGCUGACGAGCCAAAAUCUAUAAAACAGAGAAACAAAGAAACGGAGUAAGCAAUUUAUGCUUAGUAAGUUUUGAGCAAGGGAUUCCAGCACAACAAAAGUAUAGCAUUCAUAUAGCUAAACGGAUAAUUUCAUAUGCACAAAUUUUCAAUAUCAUACUUACUUCACAUUACCAACCCUUAUGUUCAUACACAAAAGAUCAACUUAGCCAAAGGCCGGUAGCUCAUUUAUCGACUGAGCGAAUACAGAUUUGUAAGGGAUCAACUAAUUCAAAGCACACACGAAACAUACCUCAUCGCUGGGAUUUUACGAACGUAUUAAUUUAAAUUUUUACAGCAAGAUCGCUCGUUCCCAAAUCAAGCAUCUUCGGGGUUUAGCCGGAUAUAACCACUCGCACAAGGCCUUCGGGUCUUAACCCGGAUAUGGUCACUAGCAUAAAUGCCUUCGGGACUUAGCCCGGAUAUAGUCGCUAGCACAAAUGCCUUCGGAUCUUAGUCCGGAUGUAGUCGCUUAGCAUAAAAGCCUUCGGGACUUAGCCCGGAUAUCAUUCGAGUAACCAUGCACAUAUAUCAAUAAAUCAUGACACAUUCAUAUUUCAUUUUCAUUACCAAAGCUCAAACACAAGACACUUAUCACAUUUACAAUUUUGGCUCAAUAGCCACAUAUAAGAGCAUGAUUUUGAUUUACUUAAGACAUAAUCUAAUCGAAUCAUAAUUUAAGUCCCAUUACUCGAAAACUUACCUCGGAUGUUGUCGAACGAUUCCGAUGGCUAUUCGACCACUUUUUCCUUCCCUUUAUCGGAUUUAGUUCCCCUUUGCUCUUGAGCUUAAUUUAACAAAUAAAUUGAUUUAAUCAUUUGAGCAUCGAAAAGAGGAACUCAAGGUACUUGGCCCACAUAUAUUCAUUAGACAUUAAAGUCACAUAUGUACGGAAUCAUGAAUCAAACUCACGGCAAUGGGGGGGAACACUCACACACAUUCUUUUUUUUUCCAUUUCUUUAUUACCCAUACUCCUUAUUUUAUUUUUCCUAACAUACCUCACUAACAUAACAUGUUUGUGACAUGUUUCCACUCAUAGCAUGGCCGGCCACUACUAAUUAGGGGGAAAUUUGACAUGCAAGUCCUCCCUUUUUAUUACAUGCACUAUUAGAUCCUUAUAGAUUAGCCUAUCACAUUUCAAAAGUGUCACACAAAUCCUACUAACUGAAUUCACAUGCAAUCGACUAAAUCGAAGCUUGAAAUUUUCACACAUUCAUAAUUACAUAUUAUAGACAAUAAAUAUCACAUUCAAAUAUUUCGGUGACUCGGUUUAGCGGUCCCGAAACCACUUCCUGACUAGGGUCAAUUUUGGGCUGUCACACACCCGUCCCUACACACCACAUUGUGUCGUUACGACACGUAUUAGAUAUAGUGCAGCCAAGCUGCUAGAUAAUAGGCGAUGAUCGCUGUACAGAACACUUCCUCCAUCAAUACAAAACCCACCCCACAAACAUAUACAGAACAGAUACAGAAUAUAUACUAGACAUGCUAAACAUGCUAUGUACAUAUAUCAGAAUAAACAGAUAUGCAUGGCAUAAUCAUACUUAGAAUAGAUUAUCGGUCUAUCAGAUCUACAAAUUUGGGGUUUGGUUAGCCCUUACUGACCCUACGGUAGGCCCACAAUUGAUUGGAACGACUCGUGUAACCCUUAGAGAAAUUUUAGAAAUUUAGGCCCACAUGCCCAUCUGGGCCCACAUGCUUAAAUUGGCCUUGCCCAUAUGGCCCACGCGGCCUGGCCCAAGAAUUCACAUGCCCAUGUGUCAUGCUUGUUUGGGCCCACAUGCCCGUGUGGCCCACACGUCCUACUUAGCCUAACUCGUAUAGCCCACAUGACCAUACUUCGGCCACCAUACGGUUGUGUUCUCACAUACGACCUACCACACGGGUGACCACACGCCUGUGUGGCAUCAAUAGUAUGGUUUUUUAAUUUUUUUCGACGCUCAUUUUUCUGUGUUUCGGGUACACACCUGGUACGAUUAUGCUACGAAACCACUCCUAGCAUUCAAACGUCCAAUUAACAGUCGAUUACAAAUUGAUACAUAACCUGUAAUAAUGCACAAGACUUUCUGAUGACUCAAACAAACCCCAACGCGAUUUAGGCUAUCAAAUCGAAACUUCACCGGACACCACCUUCUCUUAUGCCAUAAAUAUGCAAAAAUCGGUCCCUUAACUUACAUAUCAAAACACCAACACCAACGAGUUGUAAAACUAUGCUUCAGAUACUAAAAUCUCACUUACCAGAAUAAUGCGAAAACACCAAAUUAACGAGGAACGGAAACACGAUCCAAAAGAAGAAGAAGAAGAAGAAGAAGAAGAAGAAGAAGAAAUAGAAACGAAGGGAGGAAGAGGAAAAAAGGAAUAAUAACAGAGAAAAAAACUAACGUCAGAUGUUCUUGGGGAGAGAGAAACAAUUUUUUUUUGAGAUAUUCUGAUAACUUCCCACUAAUUCACAUCCUAACCACCCACUCUUAGCCUUGCAAUACAAUCGGAACUCUUUCAGCCAAACGAGCAAAAAUAAACUCCUUCGCUCACGUAGGGAUUCAAACAUAGGAACUCCAACACACCCAACACCCUUACCACACGAACCAGCAAGCUCAUUCUAAUAUGAAUUUACAAGCAAUCUAAUACAAGCCCACUGAACAAAGAUAGGGCUUCAUUCCAAAAAUAACUAAAAUUUUGGUAAAGCUAAAGCUUGAACUCAAGACCUCUCACACACACCCAGAACAAUUAACCACUGAAGCAGAUACAUAGUUAUGUUAGAUUUUACAAAAGUAGAAAUAAAUUAUUUGAGGCGUUAUAAUAGUAUUAUGGUAUUUUUUCCUUUUAUAUUUUUAAUAAAAUUAGUAAAAUAUUUGCAUAUUGUGAAAUUUGAACCCAUGUCAUUAACGCUUAUAAAAUCUUUUUUUUUACAACAUCAACCAAAGCAUUAUUUUUAAUAUUUUUACAUUUCAAUAUUAUUACUGUAAUGGCCCCAAUCUGUCUGGCCCAAAUAAAACAAACAAAAACCAAAAAUAAAUAAAUAAUAACAAAGUCCAUUUACAAAAAAAAAUAUAUUGGCCCAAAUUACAAGCCCAAACUUAAACUAUCAUAACCAAAAUAUAUUAAAUCAAUAAUAUUAAAGCCCAAAAGCCCAAAACCUAAAAAUUUUAGAAAACCCUAAAACCUUAAGUCCCUUUUCGCAUCGCGCCUCACCACGUCGGCAUGCUCACACCCCGAGGUCUGCCUCCCUUGCAACCAUUUCACCAAAAUGGCAAAGGGCGUGCUUCUCCACCAGUGUUGACUCGGCCCUUGCCACAGAGAUCUGCAAAAAAAGAAAAAAAAAGCGGAAAUGGCAGAAACAACGAAAAAGAAAAGAAAAUAUUAUGUAAUAUACGGCUAUAAAAACCAUAACAACAGCAUGUAUUGUUGAUGAAAAACACACAAAAAAGAAUCAAAAUAGAAUACAAAAAGUUGAAAAAAAAGGUAGUUCAUUUCACUUUUUUAUUUUAUUUUUUUGCCAAAAAAAUAAAAAAUAAAAAAUAAAAGAUCUUUUUUUACCUGUUGUUUAGCCUUCUGUCACCGUUAGAGACCAUCACCGGCCCCUCGAAUACCUCAGAACCCACUAGGGUUCUGCCAAGGGUUCAACGAACAUGGCAAGGCUGAGGGUUUUUAUUAUUAUUUUCCCUUCCUUUUUUUUUGAGUUUAGAAGGCAUUAGCCCUUCGGAUCUAGUUUUUGCGAGUCAAAAAGGCUAAAAAAAAAGUAAUUUUUUUUACAACUCCAGCCACUGAAGGCGACGGUCGCCGUCGUAGAUGAUCGGUGGUCACAGCGGAGCAACGACAGCCUUGUAGCCAGACAUAGAGAUGUUUAAAAGAAAAAAAAGAGAGAAUGAAAUAUUUUUUUUAAAAAAAACAAGGGGAGAAAUAAAUUCUUUUCAUAAAUUUUGACUUAAAUAAGGGAUUGAUACGACAUUUUUUUGGCCUGGCUUCAAAAGUCCCAAAACGACGUCGUUUUAAGCACGAUUUGACAAUCUGACCCAGAUCCCCUUUAGAUUUGUGUGUUUUUGAAGGGUUGGGAUAAUUUUACCCAAGUCCUUUCGCUUUUGAGCAUGUUCUGAUAUUGUCCUGAUUUAACUUUUCUUUUCUCCUUUCAAAUUUUACCGUUUUAUUUUAUUUUAGUUUCACUUUGGUCCUCUGACCAUUGACCAUUUUCGAAAAAGGCAUGUGUAAUGAGGUUUGGAAUAACUAACUAUUUGGUCCCUGUUUAUUUUCGCGUUUUCUAUUUUAGUCUUUUAUUUUGUUUUUUUUACAUGAUCCAUACUUUAAAUUACAUUUAAAUUUUAAUUUAAUCAUUCAUUUAUUUUAUUCCACCCCUUUUGCUUGCCUUUUUUAUUUUUUAGCACUUAAAAUUUAUGUUAUUUAUAUUCCUUUUUACUAUGCUUUUUUUUAGAUGGUUAUUACACAUUUAUUUAUUUUUUUAUUUUGGUAUUAUGAUAGUAAUCAUGUUAUAACUAUUUCUAUUAGUAUUAUGAAUUAAUGUUUUUAUUACUAUUAUAGUUGCAUUAUUAUUAUUUACUAGUAUGGUAUUUAUCUAUUUAUUUAUUAUUUAUUAUUCUAAUCUCGUUGUUUUAUCCACGUGGCUAUUUUACAUUAUUAUCACCGUACCAUGUAUCGCGUUUAAAUAUAUUUAUCUAUUUUCAUACUAUGCCUAAAUAAGUUAAAUGCACAUCACUUUAAAUGUUAUAUUCAUUUUUACCAGAUGCAUAAAAAAGGAAAUUUUUAAAAAAUGAGGCAUUGUUCUUUAUUUAGAGAUUCGAGAAGUUGUACCCUAACUUAUGGGUUUCGACUUUCUCUUUUAACCUAAAUAAUCAAAUAUCUUUUUUAAAACUCAAGACGCCUAGGAUUUAGGUGAUAAUUAAAUGAUGAUUUUUUGUGUUUUCGAAAAUUUGAGAUUUUUUACUCCAACUUACAGGACAUGAUUUUUUGUCUUGAUCGAUUCAAAACGAGAAAAUCUACUCAUUAAAAAUUCAAUUUAGUUAGAGACAUUUUCAAUACCAUCAAAUAACAUCGUGUGAGAGGGAUCGCAUUUUAAAUCCUCUUUAAAUUCUCAAAAUUUUGACGCUAAGACACCAAGUAAUCAAUUAGGCACCAAUUUUGGGCGUUAUGAGGGUGUUAAUCAUUCCUCAUACGUAACCAACUCCUGAACCUAUUUCUCAAUUUUUGUAGACAGAAAAUCAUUGCUUCAGUAAAAUUAACCUUUUAUUAAAAAUGAUUAAAAUUUUAAGUGACCCAAUUACACCUAAUAAAAAGGAUUGUUGGCGACUCCAUCUUCGUUUUUAAAAUAAAAAGGCGAUUAAAAAAAAGGUUUCCUACAAAAAGAAUUUUCGUGAAAUUUCGAACGCAUGGAAUCAAACUCACAAAAUGAAAAGAUUUUCUUCAAAUCCAUAUCAGCCCCAAAAUACGAUUCGUGGUGGGAUAAAAGAAUCAACAACAAUAUCCCUUCAUCAAGUCAAAAAAGUACUAGGCUGAUAGAAGAACACUUGUAAGUGAUCUUGUCUGAAUUAGAAAUCGUAAAGCAAAACUUCGAAAAGAAGAGUUCAAAACUGGGGAAAAGGAUAGAGAAGUUUGAAGAGGAAAAGAUUCAGCUAGGCUUAGACAUUGACGUCCAAAAGUUGGAAGCCGAAAAAAUGAGAAAAGGAAAGAACAAGGCUGAGGAAAACUUGGAUAGUCUAAAAAUAGAUUAUAAGAAACUUCGCUUGUCGAUAAGGACUGUUGGGUUAGGCAAAACGUCGGGACAAUGGAGACAAGAAAUCUAAGAAAAAAAGAUUAGAGCCGAUCAGUGGGAAAAGAAAUUUCGAGAUACUCGAGUCCGAGAGGAUGCCUUGAAAAGGAAACUAUUAGAAAGCCAAGAUGAAAAUGUUGGAUUGAAAGCCCGAGUAACGGAGUCGGAAAGGUCUUUGCACCAACAUCAUAGUCGCAACUCUGUGGCUGAGUUGAAAGCAAGCCUAACUAAGAUUGAGGAGUUGAGAAGAAGGAUAGAAGAGCUUUAGGCCGCACUACAAAGUUGUGAACUUUGAAUUGAGCUUCUUGAAAUAAACAAGGAACAUUGGAAAGAGCAACUCCAACGCUCUCAAGGUCAAAUCAGGGAUAGAGGUCACGUCAUGGGCGAAACUUUGACUCAAGUAUGGGAAAUAACCAACCAUUUGCAAACCCCAGAGGUCCAAGCUGAUAUGCUGAGCUUGAUAUACGAAUCGGAAUCAGAUCGGGGCCAAGAAUUAGCUUGGCUUCUUAGGAAAGUCAAAGCUUUGAGUAUUAGGGCAAUGCCGUAUAUGUAAAAUAUAUUUGUUUUAUGUAAAAAAAAUAUUUUCGAGUAAAGUUGUUCUAAUGGAGUUGAACCAGAAUCAAUGCAUUUUUUUUCAUUCAUUUUCAUUUCAUUUCAUUACAUGCAUUGAAUUUCAUAAAAAAACCCUAAUUAAUCGAAAUUAUGAUAGUUACCCUAGAAACCAACAAGAAUCUACCAACUGAAUAUCAUUACGGUACCUGCGAUAAAACCAAAGCCAUUGAUCAAAGGUUAGAAAGACUAGAACAAAUUCAAAAAGACAUGUAAGACCAGUUGCAAGCACAGCUACAAGACCAAUUAGCUAAGUUGCAAUAAGACAUGAAUGACCAAAUACAAGAGUCCCAAAGAAGCAUAAUAAGCCAGUUGACCCAGUUACUGGCCAAAGGGAUUGAAAAAGGGAAGAGUACUGUGAUUAACACUGGGGACGAUAAUGAAGACCCUACGUACCCCUCGGGCUUUACCCAGUGAACGUCUAAGCCCAACUGGAUACAUAUCCAUGAAGAGUACCUGUUACCAUAAGGCCAUAACAAUACCAGGCCAGUACCUCAGGACCGGUGAAUUACCCAAUAGGUUUAGGUUCCAAUCCUGGAGAUAAUCCAACCAACCCCGUUGUUUCAGAUUUGGACGACAUGGUAGAAAUAGAGAGAGCAAGAGUAGGAUUGCCAAAACAACUAGAAGGUCAGUACAAGUGGUUGGAGGAGAAAUUCAGAGUUAUGGAGAGUGUUUACUACUUUUGUAGGGUUGAUGCCAAGGAAUUGAGUUUAGUUCCAGAUCUAGUGCUUCCACUAAAAUUCAAAACUUCAGAAUUCGAAAAUACAAUAAGAUUAGUUGCCUGAAGCCCAUAUCACAAUGUUCUGCCGAAGAAUGACGAGAUAUGUCAAUAAUGACCAAUUUUUAAUCCAUUGCUUCCCAGAUAGUUUGAUCAGGUCGGCUAUAAAUUGGUACAAUCAGCUGAGCUGUGCCAAGAUCAAUUCAUAGAAAGACUUGGCACAUGCUUUCAUGAAACAAUACAACCAUGUGACCAAUAUGACACCCGAUAGAAUUACACUGCAAAACAUAGAGAAUAAGUAAAAUAAAAGCUUUAGGCAAUAUGCUCAUAGAUGGAGGGAGGUGGCAAUACAAGUUUAACCACCUUUUCUAGAAAAUGAGACGACAAUACUUUUUAUAAACACUUUAAAAGCCCUAUUCAUUAAUCAUAUGUUGGUAAUGCUAUCAAGAGCUUCUCAGAUAUAGUUAUGUCCAGAGAAAUGAUUAAGAAUGCAAUAAAAAGUGGAAAAAUAGAAGCAUGGGAAAGUGUUAAAAGGUCGGCCCCGAGAAAGAAAAAAAAUGAAGUAAAUACCGCAAGUGUGUACAGUAAGAGCUACUCAAAAUUGGUCACUGUGGGUCAACCAGGGACCAUGAUAACCAGUCAUCAAGACCCUUUAAGGCAAGAAUCUAUUCAAUGUACAUUUAAUAUCCCUAUUUUACUUAACGCUCGUGCAACUUUUAUUCCCAAAGUGGUAUGAUGCAAAUGCUCAACGCGAGUACCACGCAGGAAUAACGGGACACUCGAUUGAGAAUUGCACUGUAUUCAAGAAGUUGAUCGAGAGGUUCAUCAAGAUGAGAAUUGUAAGGUUCAAUGAUCCCUCAGAGCCUAAUAUGGUAGAAAAUCUAUUACCCAAUCAUCUUGACUAAGGGGUAAACACGAUAAUUGAGAGUGGGGGCAAGAAGACCAAAAUUGAUGUUACGGAGGUGAAAUCCCUUCUAAAAUAGGUUUGUCAAAAAAUGAUAGACGUCAGAUUGAUCAUUCAAUAUUCAAAUGAGAUACCCAAAGGAAUGAGGAACUACUAUGAGUUCCAUGCUACAGAAGGCCAUGAGAUCCAAGAGUGCACCAGAUUCAGGGCUGUAGUGCAAAGUCUGAUAGAUAACAAAGAUUUAGAAUUCUUUGAAGACAUCAAGAGCUGAGGAGGAAAAAAUGUUUGUGCCUCUGAAGAGGGAUCAUUUGAGAAAAUUUACAUGGUCAACCACCUGAUGGUGAUUAUUUCCCAGCCGAGAAGUAAUGAAAUAGGAGCACAAGCUACGCCAAGAAUCAUAAUUCAGAAACCUGUGGCUUUUCCUUACAAGGAGAGCAAAAGGGUUCCAUGGAAUUAUAAUUGCAAUAUGAUGAUUCUAGGAGGAGAGAACUCAGUUGGCACUUCAAAAGGGGUCCAGGAUAUUGGUUUCGUCACAUAUAGCAGGAAACGCUAUGACCCUACAAAUGCAAGAACCGAACCCCUUAAGGAAAAAACCUUGGUAGUUGAGCAAAAGAAAGAGAAAACAACUAGACUUGAAUCACCUAUCAAUGAGUCCGUAACCGAGAACGAGGGUGAGAAAUUCUUGAAGCUAUUGAAACAUGACGAGUACAUUGUAGUAGAGCAGCUAAACAAAUAACCAACUCGUAUAUUAGUAUUAGACUUGCUUCUGAGCUCAGAGACACACCACAAUGCAUUGAUGAAUGUGUUAAAUGAGACUUAUGUUGCUGAUAACAUCUUUGUGAACAAGCUAGAUAGUUUGGCCAAUAAUAUAAGUGCCGACAAUUUCAUCUUCUUUAAUGAUGAUGAAAUACCUGCAAGGGGCAUGUGAUCUAUGAAGGCUCUACACAUCAUUACCCGCUGCAAAGGAUAUACAUUGCCAAGAGUAUUAGUUGACAAUGGAUCUGUUGGCACCCAAUCUCUUGGUUUUGGUCUGUUUUCCCUUAAUGUAAUUGACACAGACAUCAAAGUCUAUGAAGUCAAGGGAUUCUAAAAUCCCAUCAGACACAAGGCGUUCAACUCUACCUUUUGAGAUUUGACCUAAGUGCCUAUGCCAUAAUGAUACUGAAUUUUCCUUAUUUAAUUUGCGUUUAAUAUCACGUGAUUCCACAUGUAAGGUUUAAUUAUAAGAUGCAAUUGUUUCUAGCAAAUAAAUGUUGUCAUAAGUAUUUAAAUAACCAGUUCCAAUAACAUUUGAAUUUAAAGACAAAUUAAAUUGAUGGUUUUCGAAUGAACAAUAAUAUCCAAAUUUGUCCAACGAAGAAACAGAAACUAAAUUUCGUCUAAAUGACGGUACAAUAAAAAUGUCUUUUAAAUCCAAAUAAAAACCAAUUCUAAUAACAACCUAAAAUGCCCAAUCACUUCCACCUCUACCCAUUUUCCAUAGCCCACAAAGAUAUGUCUUUCACCAUCACUUGGCUUUCGGUAACUCAGGCAACCCUGUAUAGAAACACUUAUGUAAAUAGUAGCACCAGAAUCUAUCCACCAAGUAUUUCUAGGUACUGAAGCUAAAUUAAUCUCAGAACAAACCAAAUUAAGAAUUAUACCUUUCUUUGCAUGCCGAGCAUUAUAUUUGGUACAAUCUUUCUUUACGUGUCCAGACUUUUUACAAAAGAAACAAUUCUCUGUAGCUUGUUGUUAUUUCUUUUGAGCUGGACCCUUAGCAACUUCAUUCUAAUAUUUUUCUUUUCUUGCCCUUUUCUUUAGAGGCAUUGGCCAAAUGAGCACUUUUAGACUUAUCACGCUUCAACCUUUCUUCCUCUUGCACACAAUGAGAAAUGAACUCAUUUAGGGUCCAUUUCUCCUUUUGACAAUUAUAGCUAAUUUUAAAUUGAUUAAACUGUGCAGGAAGUGAUAUCAAAACCAUAAGAACAAGCAAUUCCUUAGAAAGCUCGAUCUUAAGUGCUUGAAGCCUUGAAGCAGUAUGUAACAUCUUCACAAUGUACUCCUUUAAGUUUCCUUGACCUUUAUACUUCAUAGACAUCAAAGAAGUCAGAAGUGAUGUCAUCUCAACGUUAUCAUUUUUAGCAAAACAUUUCUCAAUUUCAUCAAGGAAACCCUUGACCUAAGUAAUCUCUUCAUAUUCUGUGUCCCUAAAGGCUUCUGGAAUGCUAUGUUUCAUAAUCAUUAGACUCAUGCGAUUUGAACGAUCCCACCUCUCAAAAUCCCUUUUAACAUCAGGGUGUUUUCCGCAGUGUGAGGUGCAGGUUGUUCUUCCCUUAGUGUAAGGUCCAUGUCCAUACAGCUAAGCAUUAUAAGUAAGUGCAUUUUCCAUUCCUUAAAAUUAGUCCCAUUAAGCAUGGGUGUAGAAUUUAUAUUAGCAAAUAUUGUGGCAGCAGAAGAUGAAUUAGCUGAAUAUAGAACAAAAGCAAGCUUAAACCAAUAUUCAUAAGUAAACAAUAAAUUCAAGAUAAUGGUUAAUCCCAUCUCAAGAUACCAAACACAACAUUAAUAUCAAGUCUUUGGACAGUAAUAUUAACAAUAAGCGGUACUCUUGUUGUAGCAAUCAAACAUUGACAAUAAAUUAUGUCAAACAAUGAAUUAAUCUUUAGACUAACUUAUUGCUCACAUAAAAUACUUUACAAUUGUCACACAUUUAUCACCACAGAUGUUAUUGAAAUUCUGCCAAAUAUUAACUUACCUUUGGAUCAAUUAAUAAAUGCAUGAAUCACAAAAAUAUAUAGUUAUCUUAAUAUUUCAAAUAAACUAAUUUACACAAAAGAGGUUACUUUGGCGGCAUUUUGUUUCAAUUAAUUUAUUUAAAAUAUUAGAUAUCCUUAAUUAAAAGCCAAAAUCUAAAUUUAUUUGUUUCAAAAUAUUUACCUUAAUUUCAUCUUUCAAUCAAAUUAAAAGAUAAUUAUAUAUAUUUAUAUAAAUUUCCAAAACAACAUGCAUUUAUUAUAUAUGUAUAUAAUCAAUAUAUAUAUAUGAAUUAAGUUAUGCCUAUUUACUGUUAACUUUUUUUUAAUUCAUCGAAAAAAUAAAAAAAGAGAAGGAAAGGAAAAUCUUAAAAUUUUAAUGGCAUGCAUUAUUAGUGUGCUGUGAGAUAAAGAAUAAAAAUAAAAAACAAAACAUUAUCGUUGGCCGACUUCAAAUUAAACUUUCAUGCUUCUUUAUUUAUUUAUUAUAAAAACAAAUGCAAGAGUAUAGACAUAAAUUGAAUUGUAGACCAAUUUUACGAAGUAAGAAUUUCAAAUUAUUUUUAUUAUUUUUAUUUUUAUAAUUUCAAAAAAAUAUACUUUAAUAUAAGCCUUCAAAGAUCAAUAUAUAUUUGAAAUAUAAAACCCAUAAAAUUUUAUGAAUAAAUCAUUGAAAGAAGAAACUUUAAUCAAUUCCCAAUGAUUUAACAUGACGCGGCUCAUAUGCCACUUGUUAGAUUUAUAAAAUAAAUCUAAAAUAAAACUAAAUAAACCAGGAUCUAUCAUGCCAAAUCAUCAAGAAUAAAUCAAAAAUAAAACUAGACGCGGAAGCGUACCUGAAUCCAUGAAUUCCUUGAAGUUUUACCGGAUCUUGGGGAUUUGAUCUUCCAAAUUAGCACACAAGAAAUUCAGAGAAUAUCUGCUGUCUCUUUCCUAAUGAUGGGAUAUUAGAAAAAUAUCUUGUGGAUAAUUUGGGGACCAUAACCCUAAUAUUUAUAACCUUGGUAUAUUAGUUCUAAUCAAAUUCUAAUUAGCCCAUCAUUAAUUAGAAUUUGAUUAGAACUCAAUUACUAGAGUAUCUACACAUAUUUGACCCAUACUUUAUUUAAUAAUUAAAGCCCAAUAAAAUUUUAACCAAAUUAGAUCACUUUUAAUUUGGGCUAACCUAUCAUGAUAGUAAAUAAUAACAUGUAAUUACCCUUAUUAUAUAUGUGAUGUCCAUAUUUUCAAACAAAAAGUUGUUGAAUAAUCAUCAUCGAAUACUGGUAGUUGUUGCGAAGGUAAGUUAUUAUUCCUUAAAUUCAUACUACAUAAAUUUCUCAAAUUACUUUGAUAUCCAUUUAAUAUAUGUGCAAAUGAUUAAUAGCUUGAAUGAAAUAGUAUGGAAACAAUAUGUAUACUUUUAUGCGUCGUUGAGAGCACAAAAAAUAUCCUAUUCCCUUUAAAAUAGUAAAAAUAACAAUAAAGGGGAAGUAGGGUCGAAUCCUCAGGGAUCGGAUUGUACAAAUGCUCGUUUCUUGAAAUCCUAGACAAUUUCUUGGCCAAGAAAACCUGCGUUCCUAAAAAAUAAAAAAAAUGGAAUUAAGAAUUUCGAUUUGGAAAAAUAAAAUAAAAAUAGAAUUUAAAGAGAGUUGAAAUUAUGAAAUUAUAUAAAUUACAGAUAAAAUGAAGAAUAUAAAAAUAAACAGAGUUUGGGGAAAAGAAAGUUUCUUAUGUGGCGAGAUUCCAGCCUCCGGUUGUCUCGUUCCACCUUGGGUUCAAUCCUUGGCUUUUAAGUAAACCUUCUCGAGUAGGAUAAGCCAGUUAUAGUGGAAGAGGACGCCUACGACCACCAGCUCCAAGGAUUUAGACUUAAAAUUUGGCGAAGCUUGACUCUAACCAAUAAUCGCUUUUGUGGGACUAUCUUCUGCUAGAUCAUCACUUCCCAGCGGCGAAUACCACACCGUUUUGUCUCUUGGAUUCGCCAACCUCUGACGCAGAAAGCCCACGAACUGACUGUACAAUCUUCCCAAAACGUACAAAGUGGCCGUUCCUUGCACAAGUUGAAAAGAUCAUCUAUUAAGGGACAUGGACGGAAGCGUCAGCCCAGUAAUGCGGAGAAGUGAUGAAUACCUUGUUGAGAAGGCUAAGCGCGGGUUCUAAGCCUCAUGAACCUUUUUGGGGAAUUUUGACAACCUUCGGGUAGAUUGGUUGUAACGCCCCAAUUUUCGGGAAUUCUGUGAAUGUUGGCAAAAUUUCAUGCUUUGAUUUUGUCAUUUGUGAGUGAAAUUAUGAAAUAGAACCUAUGUGAAAAUGUUUGAAAAUGCUAUAGGCUAAAUUGAAGUGGCCAAAUAAAUAGGAGUGCAAAAUAGGAGGAUUUGCAUGACAAACCUCCCAUUUUACAUGAAGUGGCCAGCCAUCAUGUUGUUGUAGACAAUAUGAGCACUUGAUAUCCAUAAUUCAUGGUACAAAUUGAUAAUGGGUUAGGUAAAUGUUCCAUGAUAAUGGAUUAGGUAAAUAUUCCAUGAUAAUGGGUUAGGUAAAUGUUCCAUGAUAAUGGUUUAGGUAAAUGUUCCAUGAUGGGCAUUUCAUGUCUUUUGUAUUAAAGAAUUAAAUGGAUGAAAUAUGAAAUUUUAUUAAAAGAAAAAGGGGUGAAAAGAACAAAGUUUUGUCCAUCUUUGUUCAUCAUAGCCAAAAGUUAGAGAAGAGAAAGGAGAGGAGAAAGCUCUUGAAUGUUCGGUCACUUGGAGAAGAAAAUUGAAGGUAAGUUCAUGGUAGUUUGCUUCUAUCUUGAUGUUCAUGAGUUCUUCUUGAUUCUACCUUAACUCUUGAAGCAUAUUUUGGUUUUUAGUUGUGUUGUGAGCAUUUAAUGAUGAAUUAAAAUGAAGGAAAUGGUUGUUGUUUCAUGUUCUUUUGAUGAAAAAUGGAAGAUAGGUGAAGUUGAGCCAAAUAAAUGAGCAUGCAUGAGCCUUAGAUGCUAAGGGGAAAAUCGGCUAACAUGUUGUGCUUUAAAAUAAUGAAAUGGAGAUUAUACUUAAGUAAAAUCAUAGAUAUGUGAUGAUUGAUUGGUGAUAUACAUGUUUAAAUAACAAGCAUGCAAGUUAGGUGUGAAAGAGUGAUUUGGUAAUAAAUCUGCUUGGGACAGCAGCAGUAACGUGACUUUGAAAAAUCACCAUAAAUUUUGGGAGAUGAGUUAGAAGCUGUAUAAAUUAUGUAAUUAAAUCUUAAUGAGUCUAGUUUCAAAUGGAAUAAACGAGAACAUAUUUUGAAUUCUGUACAAUGAGAAAUUUGAUUCGUAAUGAAGAGUGGUCAGAUUAGUCAAACAGUGAAACAUGGGAAACUUUAAGAAAAAUAUGGUAUUGAUUGGCCAUACCAAAAAUUCUGAAAAUUUUAUGGAUAGAAGAUAUAUGAGUCUAUUUUCAGGGAAAAUUAAUGACACUUGAUUUGGAGUUUCAUAGCUCUAGUUAUAAAUAAUUUAGUGAUUGUUGCUCAGGAAGACAGCUUGCAGUGAAAUUAUGAUUAUAUGGUAAACAUUGACAAAAAUUUGUUAAUGAGUUGCUUAUUGUUUUCUUAUAAGCUUACUAUGAUCUGUAGGUGUGGUUGGCCGAAUAUUGUAAGGGGUUAAUACGUAGUUUGUAUUUGAAUAGUUAGAUUAACGUGUUAGUAAUCCAAUUGUAGGCGGUUCGUGUGUGGAUCUCGUCAGCAUAUCGUCGCAAACAGGUGUGUAACUAACACCCUCUUAUAGACUAGAUCGGCACAAGCCAAAAAGCCGAAAUGCCGAAAAGCCGGUAUUUUGAGAUCUUGCGAGUGUGUGAAUGCUCAUGAGAUUAAUAGUUUGAUGUAUAUGGUAAAUUAAAGUGAUAAGACUGUAGAGUGCGCGAUUCUGUGCAUUUCGAUAUUUUUGGGCUUAAUGGGCCAAAAACGGGAUAAUGGGCCAACGGGUCCAAGUUGGUAAGAAAACGCAGUAAGUGUUUCCGAUUGUACGUAAAUGGCUAUGUUAUGUAUGAAAACCUUAAGAAUAGUGAAAUUACUUGAACACCCCUAUGUAUGCAAAAUUACUGUUAUACCCCUAGGGUUAUUUUUUUUGAAAAGCAUGAUGUUCUAUUUCUGUAUACGUAUGCCAUGACAUAUUAUUUAUGAUGCAUGGGGACAUGGGUUAUAUUAUGGAAGAAGAAUCCUGGUGGCUAUGCCACAAACAUCUGAUCUGGUGGCUCUGCCACAUAUAUCUGUUCUGGUGGCUCUGCCACGAUUAUCUGUAUCUGGUGACUCUGUCACAUUAUCUGUUCUGGCAGCCAUGCUGCAAAUUCUGUGGUGUGUAGCGGUUGGGUGGGUCGAGUUGUCUCCCCACACGGUGUAAGGUUGGUACGGGGGUGUAUACGGUUGGAUAUGGUUGGGUUUCUGCAUAAACAUGUAAUAUCUGUUCUGUUCUGUUCUGUUAUGGGCCUAUGGGCUUUAUUCUGAAUUUCUGUUCUGGGCUAAGGCCAACUUAUUCUGUUUCUGUGGUUUGAGCUGAUAUAGGCUAUGGUUGGGUUAAUUUACACACUAAGUUUCCCCAAACUCACUCCUUUUAUUUCCAUCCACGCAGGUAAUCCCCAACCAUAGUGGGCUUGGAGCUGUGAGGGAAUUCGGAGUGGCCACCUGUUUUGAAAGUUUGAUUUUCUUCUGGUGAACUGGAUAUCCUUUUAUUUACGUUUGAGGUUUUGGGUUUUUUUUAAAUGUAAUAAGGCCGCUUAAUUAUUCUUGAUGGUUUUAAUAUGUGUUACUAAGAUAAGUAUUACUUAUUUUAACUGUUGAAAUUGGAUAGCUUUAGGGCGCGUUUUCAAAAAAAAAACAACAAUUGAUUUCAAAAUAACACGACGACAAGCAAAGCUUCCACAAUGAAAGUAUUUUUCAAAAUUAAUCACUUUUCCUAAAAAUGACUUAAUCAAAUCGGUUUCCUAGAAAUAUACAUGACGUUAAUGUGUGGCAAUGGCGGUGUGCAUGUCUAGGAUUGGAUCUGAAGGGAGCUUGGUACUUAAGUAGUCCGAUAGACUCACUUCCUCUUUUCCGAUUUCCUACCUGGUGCACAGCUUCCAUUCACUUUAACCUAUACUGAAAUUAUCUUUUAAAACACUAAGUAAGUUUUUCUGGAUCAACAAUAUAAAAUGUUUUGAAUGCUUCGAUGUGGCAUGUCGGAUCCAGCCAUAACGUCUGAGCCGGGUUUGGGGUGCUACAUUGGUUUAGUGGCUCAUGAUUUUUGGGAAAGAAAGAAAUAAAAUAGAUAUGGGAUUUUUAUUGAAGAAAAUAUGGAGAGAACAAAAGACAGAGUUUUUGGAAAAAGGAGUGAUUGCAGAAAAAAAUAAUGUCAAAUAUGUGCCACUUCAUCCCCUAUUUAUAGUACUAGAAAACCUAGUCUAUUCCUAAUGAAAUUCUAAAAGAUAAAUACAAAUAAAUAAAGAUAAUUAAAGAUAAAUAAAGAUAAAUGAAAAUGAAUCCUAGAAUUAAAUCUAAAUAAAAAUCCUUAAUAAUUAUCCUAAUAUAAUUGAAAUUAAAAUAGAGUAUUGUGCUAUAAAAUCUCUUCUUUUGCAUUUUAGUCAUUGGGUCUUCCGUGUUUGCAUUUUUGGCACCACUUCUCUCUUUCUUUGCAUGUUGGCCCAUUAUAUCUUCAAAUUCGUACUUUUUGCCUUUAAAUUUCCUCUUGCCUCCAAUUUAGUCCCUAAAAAAAUAAAAGACCACAAAAUAAUCCAAAUUAGUAGGAUCAUACUCAAAAUAAGCAUCAAUUAGCACAUAAAAUAUGUCGUUCUAGAGUAUUAUCACUUUUAUACAAUAGUUCAUAGAAUUGAACAUUGGUGAUUAAUGUAAGAAUUGAAUUAUGGUAUGAUGGAAUUUAUAUUAUGCAGUUUAUAGUAAUUAUUGUUGGAUUCACGGGCUAGUGCUGGGCACACAUACAUUUUUCGGAUUCACCAACUAGUGCAGGGCACACAUAUAUUCAUUGGAUAUAUGACUAGUGCUGGGCACACACAUACAUUUGUCGAAUUCACCAACUAGUGCAGGGCACACAUAUAUUCAUUGGAUAUACCGACCAAUGCUGAGCACACAUACAAUUGUCAGUUUUACCGAACAAUGUGGGACAUAUAUUUGUAGGUUCUAUUGAUCAGCGCUGGGCACAUAUCAUUAUUACAGAAUUAUCUGUCAGGCACUGGGGCAAAGGUGGUACAUUAUAAAGAACAUUAUAUGAUCAGUUCAAUAUGUUUGGCAUUAAAAUGGAAAGAAUGCAUCUUUAGUGUCUUAAUGAAUGGAUUUGUGAAGCUUAAUUAGCGUAUAAUGCUCUUGUUAAUUUUAAACACCAUUGACAUGUACUAGAAUUAAGUAUCCAAGUUAUUUAAAUUGCAAUUGAAACUCACUCAGUAUUUAAACUUGAGACUGUUCCCAGGUUAGGUACAACAUAAAUCAGUUUAAGUUUCAACUCAACAUCCAACUUCAAAUCUUGACUUCUUUUUUGGUGAAUAUCUCUUUUGGGUUCUGACAUGUACCUAGGAUACUUUUUAGUUAAUGGUAUUUUGCUUUUGGUUGGUCUCAUAAAUUAUGUAUGUACCUAAGAUGUUAAUAUUCUAGAAAUGGUCAUUUUGUGUAUAGCUAGUACUUAUAAAGGUUAUGUAUAUAGGAUUUGUUUUUAUAUGAACAUUGGUUAUGUUUUAUAUUAGUUGUAAAAUACUUGUAUAUAUAUAUAUGAAUGAUAUAUGUCUUAUGGAUUUGGUUCCUUUGAGAAGUGUAGGUCAUAAAUUAUUUUGUUUGGGUUGAUAUAUGUAAUGAUGUGGUUGAUAAGGUUUAUGGUUCUUAAUGUUUGAGUAAGAUAAAUGUAUGAUUUGGUUAUGGUUGAAUGCCUUUGUAUGUAAUGAUUGAAUUAUGGUGUCAAUUAGGGUACAUUAGUUAGGCAAUUAGGUUGUAUGAAAUUGACAUUAUUUGAAUUGUUUUGAGGUGUAUUUGAUGAUGUUUAAAGGGUGGUUUUAGGCUUGGCUUGAUAAUAAGAUAGGUGUAAAAAUUGCCUUGUUUUAGAAGUAAAUUUUAGUGCACACAGGCUGUCACACGGUCGUGUGUCAAACAAAGCUAUGUAUCUUAUUGUUUUUAGGUGCAGGUUUGUAACGCCCUGAAUAUUAUAUUUCUGUUUCUAAGAAAAUGUGACUGUGUAUCUAUUUUAGGGGCUAAGUGUUUUGAGUGUGUGUAUGAGGUCUUGGGUUCAAGUCUCACUUUGUUAAUUUUUUUAUUUUUUACCCAAGUUUCACUCUGGUUCAGUAGGCUUAUAUAAAUUUCUCUGUUAGAUCACAUCAGAAUGAGCCUACUGGUUUGAGUGACAAGGGAACUAGGGUGUUGGAGGACCUGUGUUCGAAUCCUUGCAUGAGCGUGGGUAUUAAUUUUGCUCGAGUAUGUGAGAGUGUUUGAGUGGUCUUGGGAUUUUGAAGUAGUUGUGGUUGUGUAAAUAGUGGAAGGUAGGGGAAUAUCUAAUUAGAUUUAAUUUUGGGAUUAUUUUCUUUUUCAGAAUCUUUUCCCAAAAUUUCUCUCUGCUAUUUGAUGUUCCUUUUAUUUCUAGAAAAAUUCCAUUUUUGCUAUUUUUGUUUUCCCAAAUUUCCAUCGGAAUUAAACCCUUCCCUUCGUUUACUUCUGUCUCUAAUAUUCGUUUUGGGUGUUUCGAGCUGGUGGUUGUCAUGUAAUCGAUAAGUUGGACUUUCGUUUGUAUUCCUCUUAUCGCUAUUUUUCUGAAGGCUAAGACGUUGUAAUUUUUGUGGUGUAGGGGAAGUCGUCGAACUGUGAUUUCCAAUUCGGUUUUUGAUCGAUGUUAGCGGUGUCUUUCAUUGUCAAUAAGUCGAGUUUUUAACCGGAUUAUUGUUGACAAAUUAGUGAAUGUAGUCGCUAAAUCAGUGUUUGGUAUGCUGUGUUUAGGUUUCGGAAGGCUUGGGAGUGGUUUCGUAUCAAAACGUUACCGUUGUGUACCCGAAAAGCAGAAAAUGAGUUUUUGACAAAAGCCAAAAAAGGCUACUGUCGACGCCACAUGAGCGUAUGGUCACUUGUGUGGUAGGCCGUGUAAGAGGACAUGCCCGUGUGAUCGAUGAAGGCAUGACCGUGCGUAGCGCGCGGCCAUGUGGUGGCUCGAGUGUGGCUGUAUGGGCCACAUGGGCUAAACUAAGCUGGGCGUAUGGGCCCACACGGACAUGACACACGGGCGUGUCGAUUAUUGGGUCAGGCCGUGUGAGCCAUACGGGCAAGGCCAAGCUAGACGUGUGGGCCACACGGUCGUGUAGGCCCAUUAUACUAAGAUUUUACAUAGGGUCUCACGGGUUAUCCUAAACAACUGUGGGCCUACUGUAGAUCGAUAAGGCCUAUCUAAACCCUGAAAACUGAAGAUCUAUUGUUCUGUCCUGUGUACAUAGGCAUAACUGACUUAUCUGUUGAAUGUAUCUGUAUGUGCAUGUUGUAUCCAUACGUAAGCAUGUGAGCAUGGUUAAUCUGUAUAUCUGAAACUGAAUAUUUUGUAUAUGAUAUUGGGGUUGGGAUGAUAUAUAUAUGGAGGAAGUGUUCUGAAAGGCAUUUAUCGCCUAUAUUCUGGCAGCUUGGCUGCACUUAAUCUGAUAUGUGCCGCAUCGGUACAAUGUGGUGUGUAGGGUUGGAUGAGUGUUUUAAAUCCCACAUGGUGUGUAGGGAUUGUCAAAGAUGGUGUGUCAAGGAUGGGGGUAGGAUUUUGAUAUCUGAUUUGCAUAUCUGUAUCUGUACUUGUAUCUGAAAUGGGCUUUGGUUCGAAUCUGUAUCUGUAUCUAAUAUGGGCCCCGGUCCAAAUCUGAAUCUGUUUGAUUUUUGAUAUUCUGUGUUUGUGCAUGCUUAAUUCUGCUGGGUUACACACUGAGUUUACGUAAACUCACCACUCAUCUAUCUGUUCUGUACAGUUAAUGCACAUAGAUAGGCAGAUCGGUGCAGCGGAUGACUCGAAGGUGAUCACUCGCCAUAGAACUGUUUUAUUUUGCUUUAUGAUUUUAUUUAAGUUUUGGUAUUUUUUUGGAGAGUUUGUCUGUAUGGACUUUAGCUGUGGUUUUGGUUUUGUUGCUUGUUUUAUGCAUGCUUUAACGAAAUGAUUUCUCUUAAAACGGCGGGUUACUUAAACAAGGUUUUCUAAAUCACGAACUGUAUUGCUUAAACAUCACAGUUUUUAACAAGUUUUCGCACUAAAGGAUUUUAAGGCAAAAGAAUAAAUGUUUUGAAAUAAAUGGAAGCAAAUAAGGGUUUAUAAGCUUAAGGUUUUUAUCGAGUUAGCUUUGUUUUCAAACCCAUUCCAUAUGAGUGUACAGGCCCAAAUUUGCCUGACCCAAAACCAAACAACCCUAGCCCACAACAUAAACAAAUUUUUCAAAAAGCAAACCCUAGCCUCUGACCUUCCUGCAACGCUGCCACCGGCCUCUUCUGACAGCACCUGCAAAACCAAAACAACAAGAAAACGAAACAGGAAUAGCAAAGAGACACGCAAAGUAAAGAAAGAAAACAGCAAGCAACAAAUAGAGGAGGGUAGUAAGAUAAAUAAGAAAAAAACUGAUUAUAUUAGGGGUUUUUUUUCGAAUAAAAAAUUGUAUUGAAUACAAAAAAAGGAAAUCAAAAAAGAAAAUCAGUUUCAAAAGGUGAUUUUACGAUUCAUAUUCUAUUGAUUUUUUUUAUUUUUCUUUUAAAAAUUCCUUUAAAAAAACAAAUAAAAGAGAGAAGCGAGGGAACCCACCUGCGGUUUCGACCAUCGGAGCCCCUUUCUCCGGCGUGCAUAUCGGGCCAAGGGACGCCUUUCGUUCUCGUCGUUCCAGAGCCAUGAGCCACGAUGCGUGGAGGCACGUGGGACGCUGAUGAGGCCCUUGAGUCGGCCAAGCAAAGGAAAUAGAAAGAGGAAGGGAGAGAGCAAAAAGCACUCUGAUUUUUUUUUUAAAAAAAAGGGUGCAGAAAUGAGUUUUAGAAAAAAAAUUUGGUUUACAUAAGCUUGUUUAAACGGCGCCGUUUGGGUAAAAGGGGUAGGGUCUAUGCAUUCUAGGCUAAAGUGGGUAAUUUGCGCGGUCAACCCUCCUCAUUUGUGCUGUUGUUUAUUUAGACCCUGUUUAUCCCUUUUUUUACUUUUUAAACAUUUUGCCAAAGAAUUUUGUAUCUGUUGCAUUUUAGUCCGCAUUGAAGCACCGUGUUUUGGGGAUUUGGGUUAUUUACAUUUUUAAUCCUCGUAUGUUUGUGCGUAUUUCAUUCCGGUCCUUAACUUUGUCUUAAUAGUUUGGUUUGUUUAUAAAUUAUCCUCUUGACUUUGAUUUUGUUUCAAUUGAGUUUUUUUAGUUUACGUAAUUCUUUUGUUCUUUUUUUUAAAAAAAAAUUAACAUAUUAUUUUGAACUAUUUCAUUGAUUUUACAUUAGUUUAGUUCGUUUUUUUUAACUUUCAUUUGUAUAUUUUUAAUUGCUUUAUUAUAUAGUUGAUUUACUUUAAAAUUCUCUUUUAUAUUUCUUUGUUUUAAAGUUUAAAAAUGAUGUUUAUUUUAAAUACCCUUAUACAUUAUUAUUUUCAUACAUAUUAUUUAUAUUAAACUAUUAUUUAAUUUAAUUUAUGUACAUUAUUUAUUUAGAUAUAUAUAUAUUGUUUUAUAUAUUACUUUAAUUCUUUGCUUGCGUAAUACUUGUUUAUAAAACUAAUUUAUAUAUUAUUAUUCUAUGUGAUUUAUUGUUAUUGUUAUUCUUAUGAUUUAUUUCAAAUUUUUAUAUGUAUGAAUUACUUUAAAGUUUAUAUAUAUAAUUUAUCUUUAAAUGUUUUAUAUAUUAUCAAUCUCAAAUUCCUUUUCUUCUACAUUUUUUUACAUUAUUCAUAUUCAUUUAAAAGCUUGAUACAUUUUUAUUUGCUUUAUUUUUUAAUCAUCUAUCCUUAAUCUUAAAUUAUAAACGUUGGUAUUUGAAUAGAGCAUGUUAUGAGAUUAUUGACAUUGAGUGUAUUUCGAUUUAUAGAUUUGUAUCUCUUAUAUUAUUGCCAUUUAUUUGUAUAUUAUUUUAUCUAUGUAUAUUGUCUAUUUGAAACCCCCUUUUUAUAUUCUUUAGUUAUACUUGUUUCAUUUGUUAUUUAUUUUAAAUCGUUUUAUUCACUUCAAAAUUUUUCAUAUAUUAUUUCAUUUCAUUCUUUUGUGAUUAUUAAUUUUAAUCUCUUAAAAUAGUGCAUUAUGUGAACAUGUCCAUUAUGUGCUCUAUAAAUUAUUUGUUAAUAUAUUCAUGUUGUUGACAUUCAUUGACCCAGCAUUUAAUUCAUGUAUUUUUUUUUGUGCUCUAUAUUCCUUUUUGUUUCAUUUCGUUUAAAUCAUAUUGCACAUUAACCUCAAAAGUAUUUAUCUAAAUAUGGACUGUUUUAUUCCAAACAAAAUAAACGCACAUUGCUAAAUGUCGCAUUUUUUUUAUUCAAAGUAAGGCAAUAUUUCGCAUUUCGGGAAUUCAAGAAAUCGUAUCUUAACUCACUGGGUUUCGAUUUUCUUGUUAAACCUAAAAAGCCAAAUAUCCUUUUGAGUUUCAAAAUACGUGAAGUUUUUCAAUACAUCUUAAGGGCAAACUUGUUCUCGAGUAUUCCAACGUCGCAUCCUAACUUACGGAAUGUGGCAUUUUGCUAUCUCGGGACGAGUAGGCUUUUGAUGCUUGUUUCAACUUAAUUCAAGCAUUCUUCAAAACAAACAUUAACAAAAUGGAUUGUAUUUUUAAUUCUUUUCAAAAUUUUCAAUAUUCGACAUUAGGAUAUUAAUCAAUCAAUUAGGUACCAAUUAGGGCAUUACAAGGGUGUUAACCCUUCCACGUACGUAACCGACUCCCGAACCAUUUUUCUCGAAUUUCGUAGACCAACAUCGUUGUUUUAGUAAAUCAAAGUAUUUUAUUAAAAUGACCAAAUUUCUAGGUGAUCCGAUCACACCUAAUAAAGAUCGGUGGUGACUCUUGUUUUAAUUUUCAUUUUCAAAUAAAGUCGAUUCUCGUUUUUUUCAAAAAAAUGGUUUUGACAGUGACAUCACCAGAUUCAGCCAUAACGUCUAGGCCGGGUUUGGGGUGUUACAAGGUUUCACAUGGUCUGGUACACGGCCUGCGACAUGGCUGUGUGAUCUAAAACAGUCUAUAGCAUAGUCUACGACACGGCCAUGUGACCCUAUUUCGAAUAUCCACACGGGCUGGGACACAGCUGUGUGUACAAAAUUCGAUUGUCCACACGGAUGUGUGACCUGUUUCCAAAAUUUUCAACUUUUUUCCUAAAUGUUCUAAUUUGUUUCAAAUCGAUCCCAGAAUGUUCCAAAACUACUUUUAAGGUCCCAUAUGCUUGGUUACAGGUCCAUAAGUGCAUUUUUAAUAUAGAUCAAAUUGUGUUUUUUAUUAUUGUAAUUAUAUUGAAUAAUUAUAUCUAUUUAAUGUUAAAUGUUUAUAAUUGUACUGUAAUAUUCCGUAACCCUAAUCUGAAAACGGAGAUGGAUUAAGGGUGUUAUAAACCUAUAAAAAUAGCUAAUUUACAACUUGCCAUUUUUAAGUUCAUUCAUCCAACUAGUUAUUUCAACUAGCUAGCUUAUAAUUUUUAACAUAUUAAACCAUACAAAACUUAUGAUAUUCCUUCGUAAGGCAUCAACAUUGACUCAAAUUAUGCAACUAUAAGUUAAACACCAUGUUAAACAUUCAAAUUUAACCACUCCUACAUUUACCAUAUAACAAUUAAAUUAGAAAUGACAAUUUACUCAACAAGAUACCCUUAUAUACAUGUCAAAAUGUCUAAACUCAAAAUAGACAUAAUUCUACCGUCUCGGUGAUAGUGUUAGCUUUGUGUCAAUCUGGUUCGAUCCACAAUGUGACAAUCUACAAGGGAAAGAAAACAACUAAAGUAAGCAUUAAGAAUGCUUAACAAGUUCAACUGGAAAUACUAUACUUACUUUGGUCGUUUAAAUAUGGUAACUAACAAUCAAUUCGACAAACUUAUAGGCUAUCCUUGGCACAUAUGUAUUGGCUAGUCACAUGCCAACAUUAACAUCCAAUUAGGUUAGAAAUACUUACAUAUCAUGAAUAACAUCACUUAAUACCAAAGCCAUUUCAUAUCACAUAACAAGUUAUAAACAUAUACCAUUUUAUAUUUAAUACAUUUUCAAGUUUUUCCAUUUCAAUUAAAAUGAACGUCGCUUGAUGGAACUAUAGUAAAACAGGCUCAGAUACGCGAGUGAAUCACGUUGCUCAUACAAGCUAAAAUGACAUUAGGUUACCCAUCCGGGCUAAACCUAUAUCACAUAUAACUCGAGAAUAUACAAAAAAUGCUACAUCUCGUCAAGCGCACAUAUAACCUUAUUGGCAUGCUAAUCGUAUCUUAACCUUUUACUAAGUUCACACAGACAUCAUUGUUGUAUAUAUAUAUAUCUCAUUACCAACCUUUGUAAUCAUACAUAAUUCAUAUCGUCACAUAUUUCAUUUACUUGUCCUAUAAUCAAUCAACUUUCACAUUUGUACCCUGUACUAUUACAUAAUAUCCGAUGACCGCAUAACUUUUCAAUUUGGUCCGUUACUAGUUAUACAUGCCAAAUUCUCUAGUGUUCUAAUUAUAUUUAAGCAUAUAUAUAAAAUCAAACACAAAAAAUCACACAUAACAUUUAAUAAGAUAGUAAGUUCCAUAUGAACUUACCUAUUCAAAACACCAAAACAAGUUGAUUCUUUACGGACUAAUAAACAAUUUUAGCUUUUCCUUAAUUAACUUCACUUUGAUCCAAAUCUUAAUCUAUACAAUUGUGCCAUAUUACUAAUCAAUAGCAAACAUUUUCAUACUAAGCUAUGAUAUGUAUGAUCCUAUAGAAAUUUACUUUUUGAUUUCUCUCAAAUUUUACAUUUUAUUUAAUUUAGUCCUUAAACGGGAUAAGCAUAAUUUUUGAUUCAAGCUUCAGAUUAAAACUUGAUCUCAUAUAUUAUCAUUAAAGACCUUAUACUUUCUACUUUUAACAUAAUUUCAUGACAAAUUUUACAUUUAUUCAAUUUGGUCCCUAAUGUAACAAGAUUAACAAAAAGCUAAAUUAACUUUACAAUCUAGCCAUUUUUUAUAAUCUAAGCUUAAAAUCUAUCAAUUUCAAGCUUAAUUAUUCAAGAAAUCAACAAUGGAAACUUUUUAAAACUUUAACAAUCUCACAAAUUAGUACGUGAGCUAGCUAAAUGAAUCUCCCAUGACCUCAAAUUCAUAAAAAUUACAAGAAAAUGACUUGAAUUCACUUACUAAUUAAUGGCCGAAUACGGAAGCUUCAAAAUGGUUUCUUCCUUAGGUUUUCUAUGCUUGUGCGGUUAAGAGAAGUGAAGAAGACGAUAACAUUCCACUGUCAUUUGUUUUUGAUACCAUAAUUAAUACUUCAUUGCUUAAUUUAAUCAUGUUUUAAUAAACUUAAUCCAUAUUUAAUUAAGUUUAGUGGAAUCUUCCAUCAUUAUCCACUAACUCCUAUUGGAAAUGGUUUAAUUAUCAUUUUAAACCUUUGACUAAUUGCUAUUUAACUCCUUAAAUCUUUGGCCAAUUAAAAACCUAUAAUAAUUAAAAUUUUACAAUUUAGUCCCUAAAGCUUAAUUAACCAUUAUUUGAAAAAAUUACUCAACCAAACUUAAUAUAUUUUUAUAUUAUCCUCGUAAAUGAUCAUAUUUAAUAUUUAUGGACUGGGUUUAUGGAAAUGAGGUUUCAAAAUUGAAUUUUUCGAUACCACUAAAAUCGGAUCAUUACAUAAUAGGAGAGUGACUAAAAUAUUUAAAUUUAAAAAAUUAGAUGACUAAAUCGAAAAAAAAAAUCUAAGAUGGAAUUAAAUGUAUAAUUAGAUGACUAUUCUUGUCAUUUAUCCGAAACAAAUUAUAUGAGAGAUAAUAGAUGAACGCGUUUUCUAAAGAGUAAAGUAAUUAUAAAUCAAUAGGGGAGAAAUUGAAAAUGGAAAAAGAAAAAUUAUGUGAAUUAGAAAUAAGAAAAAUACGAAGUUAUAAGUGAAGUGGGUGGGCAAUUAUUUUAUAUACGGUUACUGGAAUAAAACAAUUUUUAUAAGUGGAUUUAAGAUUUCUCAUAUCUUUUCAUAAAGAUAUAUAUGUAUAUAUAUACAUAGUAGCAUCUUAAAUCUAUUUCUGUAAUUUUUUUAUUUUAAAAUAAUUAUUCGAACUGAAUUUAUAAUUUAUAUAACCAUAAAUUUUAAAUACUAUUAAUAAAAAUAUUUAAAAUUUUAUGUUAAAUAAUAUCUACAUUCUUCAUCUCAUUUUUUCUUCAAAACAAAAAGGAAAUUAUAUUUUUUUAAUUGAAUUAAUGUUUGGUUAAUCAAAAGUGGAUGAAAUUAUGUUAGUAUAGAUGCUUAAAAACCUUUUUCAUCCUAUGUAAAACGAAAGCACCCUACUUUAGAGCGCUUCAUCUCAUCACAAGCUUCUCUAUUAUUUUACUUACAUCUCCAAACUUUAUGUGAAAUCAACCUUACUUAUCCUAUUCACUACAACACUCAGCAGACAACUAUGUUCUGGUGUCUCAUAGCAAGGCUUCUCUCUUUCAUCCAUGAACACCUCAGUAAACGGAUCUUUAGUUGGAAGAAUAAGUUGUUAUCGAAACUGUGGCCCAAGCUUUACCAGUGUAUUGCAGGAGUGUUUUCCUAAUUCCAUUGGAUACUUGCAAGGCACUCCGAAAAAUGAUGAACUCAUUUUGGUACAAGAAAGGGUAUUAUUAGGCGUCUUGGGACAAGGUAUGUAUUUCGAAAAAAUAUGGAAGUAUGGGUUUAGUUAUGCAACAAUGUUUGCGACUUGUUUCUAAUUCCGAUUGUCUUCCUAGUAGAAUUUACAAAGCCAAGUAUUACGCUGGUGGGAUCUUUGGCCGCUGAUGGUAUUAAUCAUCACUGUGUCGAUUAUGUAUGUCCAUUUACUUCUUUAAAGAGUACCGGUGACAAUGAAGAUUAGUUAUUGUUGUUGACGGUAGAUUCACUGAUUUCAACCAAAAAAAUCUGAAAAACUUUCAUUAUUUGGGUUUUGAUUAUCAGCCAAAUCUUUGUGGCUGUUAAUGGGGGCAAAGAGGAAGAAGAAGAGCAAUAGCAAAGGCUGUUAGAUUUUGAUGCAUGGCGUUUGACGGUGCCGUUGGAACGAUAUUCCAACUUCCAGUACUAUUGAAUCAAAGUGAAAAUAUAUUUCUUUUCAUUUUUCCAACGCUGAGCAGCAAAGUGAUCGCGGAGCUCCACCCCCCUCAGUAUAUCGUCAAGACUCCUCAACCCUGCAGCCUGCAAAAUUUGUUUAAACCAUGAUGGUAAUACUUGAACAUGAGAAGCUAGUGUAUUCAAAGAUCUUGUGCCAUAUCAUGUACUGGCUACAAUUGUGAAUUACAACACGUCCCGGAAAAUUCAGUCAUCAAUGGAGGGAUAGUAGAUAAGGAGAUGGAAGAGCAGAGCAUUACCAGCUUCAACCGUUGAAUCCUACCAGAAUGGUGAUCCAUUUUUAUUCAAGGAGAAAGAUAAUGUGCUUCAAUGUGAUUAAACAAAUAAUUUGAAGAAAAAGAAUAGCUUUCUACACUUCAUUUUCUCUGGUUUAGCCCUUCCUUCCACUGUUCUCUGUUAUGGGAGACUAAGAUAUAAAUAUAACAGCAAUGAAUUGUUGAAAGUAACAAAUAAUUACAGAAGAGGAUGACAUUUCAGAUUAGCUCAAAAAUUUGAUUUUCAACACUAGAUAAUAUUGUCUUAGCUCUAUCAAAAUUGUUUUAUAGAAAUAGAAACAUAUGAACCUAAAGAUUUCUUUCAUGGAGCCAUCAGCCCAUCAAUGGUGUAGGAAAGAGAUUUUGCCCAGUCUGCUUUGAGUAGCAGCGUCUGUAGUGUUUCCAUUACAUCAUAUCCUGGAUCAAGUUUCCUUUGCCAACCCUACAAAUUUAAACGAGCAUCGAAACAUGAUAUAAUGGAAUUAAUUAUCAUACAGGCAUUUCAACAAGUCAAACCUAGGAACAUUAGGAAACAAUCCCGAUAUGGGAAUACGUUCCCAUUCUUAACUUCCAGGCUCAACUAGUCAUGAUUUAUUUUGUUUCCCUCAAAAAGACAUAAAGCACAAUACAUAACAUGCAGACAAGGAAUUCUCACAAGGGGAAACGGAGUUGAAAAAGACAUCUCAAUUGGUUGGUCAAAGGCUCUAAAUGAAAAUUUUGGACUUGCAUGAAAUGGAGUUACCUCAAGAACCAACAUGGUGACCAAAACAGUGCAUACGUUGCCAUCAAUAUUGACUUUAUGACGCCUUACUUUCUCGAGCAGUUGUUCCAUGCAUUCAGCCGGAUGGACUAGAUCACCCUCCGGGGUACCCCAAAAAGUGAAUGCUUCAUCUACUUCCUGUUAAAAUAAGAUAUUAGAAAACCGAGCAGCAAUAACACAGAUAUAGAGAUGAACAAAUUAUAUGGAAAACAAAGGGAGGUUGGAUGGUAGAAUAAAGAUGUAACUUAAGACUAUAGAUGAUAGAUCGUUCAGAAUUCAUCUAAACUGACAAACCAGUAUAGAUAGGGGGCAUAAAAGAAAGCAUUUGAAACGGGUAGACUAUAUGGGAAAAUAAGAAGAUAACAAAGAAAGCAUUUUCCAAACUCCUCAAUGUCCUAAAAGCCUUUAGGACAACUCAGAUUACGUUAUUUACAUCACCUCAAUAAAAGCCUUUGGGUUCGGGCAGUUUUGUCGCUGUGAUAAUCUAAGUGUACACUCAGCAGCAGUCUGACCAUCUCUUCGAGCAACAGCCUUAAAAAAUUCCAAUAAAUUUAUACGAUCACUUUUAGAAAGUUCAGCUGUCAUGCCUACAUCAAGGAAAAUGAUAUGAGGCUUUGACUUAAAGAGCCGUUUUCGAGAAGCCUUGCUAUGAGACACCCGAACAAGGAUAUUUCCAGGAUGCAUGUCAGCAUGAAUGAAGUUGUCAACCUGGAAGAAAAGAAGUAAUCUUUUGGUUACCAGUAUCGUACCAGACUCUUACUUUUCAAAUAAACAAGACAAUGGGAACCAAUAAUCAUUAAUUAAAAUUUUACAGAAGCAUAAGAAAACCGAUUCAAAGCAGUUACCAAAAGCAUCUUUAAAAGCGCAUGAGUUCCAAUAUGAGCAAGUUUGGCCUUAACCAUAUCAUAUCCUUCAAAUUCAUCAACAUAGCGUGCAACACUUUCCCCUUGUUCAUAUGUUUCCACUAAAACAGCAGGGUGCACAAGUGGAUAGACAGGCUUAGGAAAAGAAACGUCUUUCCAGCUUCGGAAAUUAUAUAUAAAACGGUUCAAAUUGGCAGCUUCCCUGGCAAGAUCAACUUGAGACAUCAUGAAAACAGCAAAUUGCUGGACACUCUCAUCCAAUCUCAACCAGUUAAGAGUUGGAAUGAACUUUGAUAAUUUCGCCGCCAAGUUGAUAAUCAUAAAAUCUCUCCUAAUUGAUUCAACAACACCAGGAUGUCUAACCUUUACUGCAACUAACAUGGGCUUGACCCGUUUACCAGGGUAACGGAAUCUCAAAGAAGCCCGGUGCACCUGAGCUAUACUUCCAGAAGCCACCGGUUCCUCUUCGAAACCGUGAAAUAUUUCAGAAAGCUUACGGCCAAAUGCUCUUUCAAUAGUUUUCUUUGUGAAAGCAAAGCUGUGUUCAGGAGCCCUGCUGUGAAGCUCUGAAAGCUUGGUGCAUAAAUCUUUAGGGAAGAGAUCUGGUCGCGUUGCUGCCCAUUGACCCCAUUUUAUGAAUGCUGGACCUGCCGUUUCAAGUGUGCGAUGCACGACUUCAAGCCAUAUUUUCCUGAAUUUGAGGCCACAAGAGUCGGCAAAUGGUGCCAUUAUUAUACUCGGAGAGAACAAAAUUGUAAGAUAGAUAGCCCUCACUAGCAAGAUAACACCUUCUAUCACUGAAAGUAGUAUAGAAGAAACAAAAGCAUGACCAUCUUGAGCACGACUAUACAAAGAAUUUGGUGA